ACAUCACAACCUCUUGUAUGCAUUAACAAAGCAUAUAUUAUACAUGUAUGUGUGAUAAUUAUAACGAUUGUUUUUAUUCUUUAAAUUAUAGAGACAAAAAGAAGUGAUAGCAUACCCUUGAAGUUGAAUAGCGAUAUCCAAAUGGAAUAUAUAUAUUAUGAAGUUUAAAACAUAUGUGUUUGUUGAUGGUCAUCUAACUUUAGUUAACAAUCACAAUUUAAUUGUUGACCUUUUUUAAUAAAAAGAAAAAUGUGAAGGGGCACUCACUAUACCCUAAAUCGACAAACAAAGGGUAUAUGGAAAACGACUUGGCUCCUUUUGAUUAGGCGAAGGGCCAAUUUAGUAUAGGAAGCAAGUGGCCAAGUUGGCAAUAACAUUAUCCAAAUUCCAAUGCAAGAGAUUUUGUGCUUGUUGUAGUAAUAGAUUAGAAGCUACAUACAAAGAGCAGCUUUAUAGAGAGAGAGAGAGAGAGAGAGAGAGAGGAGUGAAAAUAAUACAUGUUUGGUGAAUUGUCAUCUGUCAAAGAAUCUUUGCCCUAGUUUUGAGGCGUUUUCUUAGCUUACUAAUUGGUUGCCUUCGUGCGGAAAAUCAAAGUGAUGGGGGUGGCUCCACAAUUUCAACUAAAGGGGGCCUUGAAAGUUAAAAGUCCAAUCAGAUUUGGAGGGCGUGUGCACAUUUAAUCUUAUAGGCCCAUAUGAUUUCCUUUUUUGCACGGUACACCGCUCAAAUCAUUUUUCUCAAUAUCGUAUUGAUUUUAGUUCUGAAUUUAAAAACAGAUUUCUCAAAGUAUUUUCUUGUAAUGGAUUUCAGAGCAAGGCUCUGGAUUAAUAAUGGAACAUUUUUCCCAAAAGGUUCUACUUAUUAUUGUAUUAAUUUGUAAUUUUAUUAUUUUUGAAGGUAUUAAACUUUUUUUUCUUUGAGAGUACCAAGGCUUUUAGCUUCUCCUGAGGCUGCCCUUACUCAUGGUCGGAUUUGAUAAGAGAGAACGUGUUAACUGUAAUACAGAAGAAAACUAAUUUAUUUUUGCUUGCAAGUAACUUAUUCUUACUAGUUAAUUUUGUACCGAUACCAAUCGUAUUAAUAUAAUUUGUUCCGAUAAUAAAUCAAAAUUUCAAAAUUAUACUUUUUGUUAGGGAGAAGAUUUCGAUUUGCACCGACUGUAUUGGUGCGUAUUGUCUCGUUCUGUCCAAGGAUCAAGCUAAGAAUUUUAGAUUGUGGGGUCUGUUUUUUUUUAAAUUAAAACAUUUAUAAAUAUCAUAUAAUUAAUGCAUAUUUUAAAAAAAUAUAUUUUUCAUUCUUGUUAAGCAUUCAGAACAAAUAUAUCUAAGCUUUAAACACAUAAAUGUUUUCAUCAAGCCAACAUGCCUCUAGUCAUUUUCUUUCACAAAAACUAAUCAUCAUUUAAGUGUUUUUUUGUUGGAGUCAUAAGAAUGCAAUAUAUCAAAUUUUCAAACACAACCUUCACACUAAUCACACUAGCAACAACAAUGUCUAAAUAAAAAUGUUAAAUUUCUAAUAAAUCCUAAUUUCUUCAAGGGUUUGUAUUAAUCAGUCCUAAUUUUUUAAGGAUUUGUAUUAAUCAACCUCUAAAAAUUAUAUUUACUCAAUCACGAUGUGAGGGGUUUCAUAAAAAAAAUCAACAAUCUCAAUAACAUUCAAUAAAAAAAAACCUAAAUCAUGCAUAAAAAUCCUAAUCUAUCAUAAGAAAAGUUACCAUCUUAAUUUUCUAGAGAUUAAUUAAUAAAGGAUGAAAAGAAAAAAAAGAGUAGUUGGCUAACAUGAAAGUAUUGAAAGAUUCACUGUUCAAGUAUAUUGUAAAAAUUCAAGCGAGUAAAAGAAUAAAAGAAAUUUGAGAAAAAAAUGAUGAGUAUUGGAAAAAAAAGAAUUUGUGUUAUGAAAUAAAUAGUGUAAAUAAAGAAGUAUAAGAGCAAAAGAAUCUCAUUAAAUUUAGUUAUAAUAUAUAUAUAUAUAUAUAUACAUUAAUGUAAAAAUUAGUAUCUCAUUAUUUUUUAUUCGGUAAAAUGAAUUAUCAUAAUAAUUCACGGGGUGAUCUUGUUGAUUUAAUAUACGAGAUGAAUUUAAAAAAAAAAUUGUUAAUCGAUGGGAUUGUAUUUUUUAAAUUUAUUGAUGACUAUUUUAUAUUUAAAAUUUAUUUAAUUUAAUUCUUUUGAUAAUUAUAAAUAUUUUUCAUAUAUAUUUCACAAUAUUUCAAAAAAUAUCAAUAAUACAUUACGUUGAAACAUAACAAUAAUACCACUAAAAAAACAAUACGUCGGAUACAUUUCUCCGCAUUUCGAAUUUAAAAAUAGAAUUUAAACUGUUAACCCAAUUAAAAUAAUUUUAUAUUAAUUUUUGUCCAUUACAAAGUAUUUUUUUUUGUUAAAUAGCUACCAAAUGAUUUAAGAAAGAAAUAAAGAAAAUCAAACUAGUGAACUUAAUAAAAAAAAUUUAACAUUGUUAAUAAUUGAGCUUAAAUAUUUAAAUUAAAAAAGUUGAGAGACUAAAUUCUAAAUAUACGAAUAAUACAAUAAUUUUGUGCCAAUUUUAACUAAAAAAAAUGUAGCAAAGUAUUUAAAAUUGGGCCUUGAAUAAUCUCAAUACGGAGUCCGGAACCCAAACACCUUCGGCCACAAUCGUGGGAUCAUCCUUCCCCUUUCAGUUGGGCUAAAAAACAAUUAAUAAAAUGGUAAAAUGUGAGGAAUUAAGUCCAAUUAAUCAUAAAAUUAAAUCAUUUUUCAAUUUAGAUAUAGAGUAAAUUGGACAAUUAAGUACGACAUUGAUAUUUUCCAUAAAUUCUACAUAAUUAUUCGUAUAAUAAUAAAUUUAACUAUUAGUAUUUAUAUAUUGUGUAAAUGUUGUAUUGUAGGCUCAAUUUUUUAAAUCAUUACCAAAUUGAUAGAACAUGUGAAUGUUAUAGGCUAAAUUUGUUGAAUUAAGAUUAAACUGACAAAACGUGUAAAAUUUAAGGGGUAAUUUUGUUAUUAUACCAAUAAAAUUGAUAAAAAAUAUUAAUAUUAUGAUUACUUUUCCUUAGUUGCUAAAUUUCAAAAUUAGCAGGGAUUAAAUAGACAAAAAAAAGUAUUUUUACCCAAAAAGAAAUUAAAUUUGAAGUGUAAUAUUUGGUUGAUUUCAGCUUUUUUUGUUUUUGUUUGGUAUUUAACAAAGCUUCAUUUUGUUUCCAACAAUAAAAUAGGUUUAAUUUGAUUGGUUAGGAACUUCUGAUUCGUAUAAAUCCUAAUUUCAAUUGUAUUAAAUUUGUUGAUACAAUGUAAGGAUUAUGAAGAGAGAGAGAGUGGUUCUUUUUCAUUUGAAUUAAUUUAUGACAUUAAUAAAGAUUUAUUUUCAUAAAUAAUACAUAUAUUAAUUGUAUUAGACUACAAUACAACAGCUCAUAAAUUGGUGAGUUCAUGGUAAAUUUAUUUAUUUAUAUUUUGUAAAUUCAGAGUUGGUGUCAUCUUUUCAAUACUACUAGAUUUCUUCUCUCAUAAUCUCAAAGCCGGAGGAGGUGUUCGAUCCCACACCUCUUCGGAAAAAAAAUCAUCUUCAAAAACGAAAAAUAUUAUAAAAUUUUCGUUCUAAAAUUCCAAAAAAAGAAAGAAAAAGGAAUCAAUGGCGUCGUCCGAUAGCCUGAGCGACAAGAACGCGGUUUUCAGAAAGCUGAAAGCAAAAUCAGAAAACAAGGUUUGUUUCUAUUUUGUGUUUCGAAUUUUGAUUUUUUUUUUUUGUAAUUAUGUUUUUAGAUCUGGUUCAGAUCUGGAAUUUCUGUUGCUGCAUCUUGAAUUCGUCUAAUUUGCAUUGUAAAAAAAAUAUUUAGAUGUGUUUCGAUUGUAAUGCGAAAAAUCCAACAUGGGCGUCGGUCACGUAUGGGAUCUUUCUCUGCAUCGAUUGCUCAGCCGUUCACCGGAGUCUCGGUGUACACAUCAGCUUUGUUAGGUUUUAAUUCGAAUCCUUUUUACUUUUUCGUGUUUAACAUUGAUUGAUGCGUUCUAUUUAUUUAUUUUGCAUCCAAAUUAUUCAAAUUAUGCUUGAAAAUGGUUGAAAUUUUUGUUUGAUCUUCAAUAUAUAGGGGAAGAAACGGCUCUUUUGUGCUUUCAAUUUUUAUUUUCCUGAGGAAAUUUAUGGAUAAAACUGAAAUGUCAAAUCUGUUCUCAAAUUUUAUAAACUUAUAUAUGGAAAGGUUCUAUUGAGCAGAUUAUGUUCUUUCGUUUUGGAUCUGCUGAAAUGCAACUGUAGGAAUUAAAGUGAGAAAAAUAGCUAGUCUUUUAGAUUUUGGUGUUUACAUUGACAUGCACAUUAGUGUGGAUUUUGUAAUGUCUAUACCGUCAUAUCUUGAUGCAGCUGCUGCUGCUUAUGUUCUCGAGUCAUUGAAUUUGCCUUUUCUUUUUAUGGAAGAUUUUGUAUAUUUUAUGCAGGUCUACAAAUUUAGACUCUUGGUCUCCUGAACAAUUGAAAAUGAUGAUCUAUGGUGGAAACAACCGUGCACAAGUUUUCUUUAAGCAACAUGGUUGGACUGAUGGAGGCAAAAUUGAGGCCAAAUAUACUUCAAGAGCUGCUGAUUUAUAUAGGCAAAUGCUAUCGAAAGAGGUGGCUAAAAGUAUGGCUGAAGAUGCUGGUUUGCCUUCAUCCCCCGUUGCUCCUCAAUCGUCAGCAGCACCUAAUGGAUUUUCUGGCAGCAAGAUUGAUGAAGUUCUUAAAGAAAGUUCUUUAGGCAGUCAAGAAAAACCCGAAGUUUCUGCUGCCCCAAAAGCUUCCCAUACCGUUGUUACCAGCGCUGUCAAGAAGCCUCUUGGUGCCCGAAAGGUUACCGGGAAGACCGGGGGGCUUGGUGCCAGAAAGCUUACUAAUAAGGUAUUUAUUGUUUAAUUUUGUGAGCCAGGCAAUAACAGCAGAAUACUCAUAAGGGGGGAGGGGGGACUGCUUUAUAUGCCUUUACAUGCAAUAACAUGGUCUUUUUUAAUUGUAGCCAAGUGAAAAUCUCUACGAACAGAAGCCUGAAGAACCAGUUGUCCCAGUUGCUUCCUCAACUAAUGACAUUGCACCCACUGGCUCAUCUUUUCCAUCUCGUUCUCGUUUUGAGUACGUAGAAAAUGUUCAAUCUACUGAGUUGAAUCAUGGUGGCCCACAAGUGCUUAAUCAUGUUGCUCCACCAAAGUCGUCCAGCUUCUUUGCAGAAUUUGGAAUGGACAGUGGUUUUCAGAAGAAAUCAAGCUCAAAUUCCUCAAAAGUGCAGGUAAUAUGACAUCUGUAGAUGACCACCUUAAUAUUUUAUUUAUAAAUGGUUGAUGGAAUUCUCUCCUUUUGCUUUUAGAACAUCCUGCUCUUUAUGAUUCUUUAUGUCACUCAAGGUUCAUUCCAAAACCUCUACUGCUGGAGAGGAUUUCAACUUCUUAAAGUGGAUAUCUGGCAUCAAGAUUGAACACAAUAUUUUAUUUCGGUUAUCCUUUGACCUUUGAGCUUAAGUGAAGUUGCAUUAUUCCUUGAAAAUCAAAAUUCAAGACAUAGCAACUUUACUUUCUUCUAACAUAACAUUACGAGCACCUUGAAUCUACUCGGAUGUAUUGCUUGUACAUCCGAAAUCGAUUGACUCUUUGAGAAGACCAUAUUGCCAUAUUGUACAUUUCCAUGUAAUUUAAUUUACGAGAAUUUGAUGGGAGAGAACUGUUGUAUGAUUAUCUUCAACAUUUAUAAUUACCCCCUUUGAAGUGUUCUAUCUUAGUUCUUAUUUCAGCUUGCAUCUUUUUUUUUUUUUGGGGACUUUUUAACUUUUCUUUUUCUCUAUCGUUUCAUUUUAAUUUCAGAUCCAGGAAACCGAUGAAGCUAGGAAAAAAUUCUCAAAUGCUAAGUCUAUUUCAUCAGCCCAAUUUUUUGGUGACCAAACCAGAGCAGCUGACAAUGAAGCUCAAGUUACUUUGCAGAAAUUCUCAGUAUGUGCAAUUGCUAUUUCUUUUUUAAGGCUUGAAAGAGUUCAGCAGAAUUAGAUUCCUAGAAGAACAUAAUUGUAAACUGUUUUGUAUUUGCGAUUAGGCAUCAUUUACUUAUGAUGAGGUAGCCAUAGAAAACACCAAACUUUUGGAAUCCGCACUCAAUAUUUCAUCCUUAACAGAAAAUAUAUAGGCAUUAUUGGAAAUAGUUUGUCUUUUCUAAGUUCAAGGGAUGUGAGAACAGUAAAGUUUAUGUAUGAAAUGUGGCUUUUCCGAGAUUAAUAGCCAAAUUGUUUUUGUAGAGCUCAACAGCCAUCUCCAGCUCUGAUCUAUUUGGUCAAGGUGCAGAUAAUGCUCUUGAUCUUACUGCUAGUGACCUCAUCAACCGACUCUCUUUCCAGGUUUGCUUCAUCAAUCGCUUCUUUUAUGCAUCGCUUGAACUUUGAUUCGUGCAUGCGAUAUCAAGGAAGCUCAUCUUAUCCCUAUUUUUGUUCUGGGUUUCAUUAUCUUGUUAAGUUGAUCUAUUUCUUCUUCAUAUGAAAUUCGACUUUCAGGCACAGCAGGAUAUCUCGAGCCUUAAGAACAUAGCAGGAGAGACCGGAAAGAAGCUGAGCUCCUUUGCGUCCACUUUUAUGAGUGAUUUCCAGGACAGAAUCCUGUAAUGGAGUGUUCUGGCCUUGAAAAUCUAUAUAUAUGAUAUAUAUCUGAGUUUGUUAUGUUAGAUCACCGGCCAAUAUCUUUUGGUAGUGAAAUGUAGUAGACCCAUUUUAUAAUAACAAUUCUUUCACAGGACAAAUAAAUAUUUUAAAAACCUCCAAGCUUUCUUUAUUUUGUACUACAAGUGGUGUUUUGUGGGUUUUUAUUUUUUUUCUUUUUAGUGCAUUUUAUUCACUCAGUCCAGUUUAUUAGGCCACUUUACUAUUAAAGUUGAAAAAUGCUGGAAAAGAAAGUGUUUGCUUUGUUUUGAAAAAAGUUUUUUUGUUUAUCAUUGCUUUGCUUGAAAUCAUUGUUACGAAAGAUAGAUGUCUAGAAGCUACUUUGCUUGCAAUACAUUAUAUAUAUCAUAUGGAACAUAAAACAUAAAAGAAAAACUAAGCUAUAUUUGGGAUUGGAUUUUGGGGUUUCUUUUUGAAAACCAACAAAAGGAAUUUGAAGCAUAACUUUUUCUUUUUCCUUCUGGUCUCCAAGCUUUAGAUAGGGUGAUAUUGGUUAGAGUUCGGGGAUUUUUUUUUUUUUUGUAUUUUUUAAAACGUUCACUAUAAUUCGGUUCUAUUUGUUUAACUUUUUACUCUUCAUUUAUAUACUUAUUUUGACGAAUAAGAUUUUUUUAUGACUUUUGAAUAUUAUUUAAUUAAAAAAAUCAUAAAUAUUUCUACAAGACAAUAAUUUUUAUUAUUUUAAAUAUAUAUCAUAAAACAUUAAUUAUAUAUUAAAUUCAGGUUGGUUUUGUUAAUAGUAGAUUUUAAACUUAAAUUUAAUAAGUCAUUUAAAUACUUCGAUCCAAAUCGGUUUCGAUUUUUCUUGCUUGAUCCUAUCGCUGGGCAUUACUAGACAAAAAAGGAAAACUCAAAAUAUUUUUAUUUUUUUUAAGAAUGGAAAUAUUAUUGAAAACGUAUUGGGUCUUUAAAUUUAAUUAUUAUGAAUUAAUUGUGAAUCAAAUUCGUAUAAACAUAAAAAUCGUUUCUCUCCCUUAAAAGAAAUAGUUUUUCAUUAAAUUUAAUAUUAAAUCUAUAACUUUUGUUUUGACUCCAUAUUAGUCCAUAUAUUAUUUAAUUAAAUAGGAAAAAUAUGGGUAAUAUUAGAGAAAAAAACAACAAUUUUCACCCAAAAAAUUUAAAGAAAAAGAAAGGAGAAAUUGAUUAACAAUUUAGAUAAAAGUUAAAGGGUAAACUGCCCCCAAGGUCACUAAAAUUUUAGUGAAUUUACAUUUUGAUCACUCAACUUCAAAAAAUUACAAAAUAGUCAUUAAACUAUUCAAAUGUUUUCAUUUAAGCCAAUAGACUAUUAAGUCCAUUUUUAAAGUCUAGUUGACAAUAUUUGAGCGACGAUUUAAUAAUUGGUAUAGUGGAAAAUGGUCAAUGUCAAACAUCAUAAAAAAAAGUUUAAAUUUUAAUUUACAAAUUCACAAUAUUCAAAGUUGUUUCAUUAAAAAAAGUAAAUUAUAGAAGAGGAGAGAAAAUUUACCUUUUCGAUUAGUGUGGGAGGUGAGAACUGAGAAUAUCAUACAACAAUAAUUUUAACAAGUCAGUAACUUGAAUAAAAAUUUUUGAAUAAUUUAUUGAUAAUUUUAUAACAUUUUAAAAUUAUAUGAUCGAAACGUAAACUUAUUAAUAGUUCAAUUAUCUUAAAUACAGUUUACCCAAAUUUAAAAGGAAAAAAGAAACCGUACAAAAGGGUAAGGUUGGACCGGAUCUUGUAGCCUAAGCCGAACAGUUCUAAUUACUUUUACUUUUCUCCUUAGGUAAAAGAAAACAAAGUUCUCUCAUAGCAUUAGCAGUCAACUCAAUGUGUCAAAAAAACCUCUGAAAAGAAUCCAAAUUAAUGGCGGCUUAGUUUUCCCUCCCAUUUCAAAACCCCCUUCAGAAAAUGGUUUUAUAAAAAAUCCCUUUCUCCCACUUUCCCUCCUCCCAGUUUUCCCUCUUGUAUUUUCAUUUUUUUUCCUCUCAGAACAAAUAAGAUUUUGAGUCUUCCUGUGUUCCAGAAUAUAAAAUCAUUGCCCUCCAAUCUCUUCUUUUGCUUCUCUCAAAACCCAUCAAACUCCUUUUUUUUUCCCAAUCUUCCAAAAUAUGGAAGUCCAAACAUCUUUUCCUCAAACCCUAAUGACAGCCGAUCCACCUCCUUCAGAAUCUAUCAUUUCUCAGGAGCAUGUUGAUGGAUUCCGUCGAGUUUUGCCAUUGGUUCCCGAUUCUUUGUCUGGGUCUUCAUCUGUUUCUCCAAUGGCCGUUGAUUCUAUUGGUACUGAAGCCAGUGAAAAUCCCUUCGAAGAAGAAACCGCCGCCGGUCCUUCGCCGCCACCGGCUUCUUCUACUGAAUCCGAGCCGUAUAAGGAACCUGAAAACUGUCCGCAAGAGGAAGAAGAAGACGAGAGAUGGCCUCAUGGUGGCUAUAAUUCUCCUUACAACUAUUCUCGCAGAGACAACGAAUUCAAAUCCCCUGGAUCUGGGUAUUCGUCAUGGACCCUUUCAUGGUCAAAGCACUGGUCUCCUAAAGAGACUUCUAGAAACGAAGAUAAACCGACCGGUGUGGUAUGUUUUUACUUUUGACAUUUUGGAGUUUAUUUGUACUUUUAAUUGGAAUGAUAAUUCUAAAUGGUUCAUUUGUUCGGUAAUGGUUAUGUAGGGUGCAGGGCUGGAAAAUUUGGGUAAUACAUGUUUUAUCAAUGCCGUGUUGCAAUGUUUUACCCACACUGUUCCUUUUGUUUUGGGUCUUCGAUCAUUGAAUCAUCAUGAGAAGCCUUGUGAUCGUAAGAAUCUUUGCUUUCAGCUUCUGUUUUUUUAUUGAUUUCCUUUUCGGGGUUUCUCACUAUUUUUGUUUUUUGCUGGGAUUAUUAGGUGAUAUGGAGAGUUUUUGUUUGCUUUGUGCUCUUCGAGAUCACAUUGAGCUUUCACUACAUUCAUCUGGAGGGGUCGUAUCGCCUACCAAAAUUUUUGACAAUUUGAACUGUAUCCUUGAUUUGGUUAUUAUUAGCUUGAUUAAUUUGUAAUUGAAUUUUUAGUAAAUUUUGGUUAUAUUUUUCUUUAGUUUAAUUUGAUGAGAUUGCCAUAUUUGCUAUUGAUCUGCUUGGAAAGGUGUAUAAUUAAGAAAAAAAAUGUAAUAUUUUUGCAAUUGUGAUUCUUGACUCACAUGAAACCAGAUUUUUCAUCAUUUUUCCAAAGAUAUCAGCAAGAAGAUGCUCAUGAGUUCCUUCAAUGCUUGUUAGACAGACUUGAAAGCUGUUGCUCAAAGCUCAAGAAUGAUUUGUCCUCUAUUGAUGAUUGCCUAGUUAAGAAGGUUUUUGGUGGUCGUCUUGUUAGCAGAGUAUGAAUGAUACAAUUUGAUCUUGUUUAUUAUUCGUUUACAUAUAAACAUUUGUUUUUACUCUCUUAUUGAACAUAUUUGACUUUUUAUUGUUUCAGCUAUGUUGUUGCAAUUGUGGUCAUGUUUCAAGCACUUAUGAGCCCUUGAAUGAUUUGAGUUUGGAAAUUGAAGAUGCAGACUCUUUGUCGACUGCCUUGGAAUCUUUCACCAAAGUGGAAAAGAUAGAAGAUUUGGAAUUGAAUUUUAGGUGUGAGAAUUGUAAAGAACAGGUGUCGGUAGAGAAACAGCUCAUGCUGGAUCAAGCUCCUUCAGUUGCAACAUUCCAUUUGAAAAGAUUUAAGACUGAAGGGACCUAUAUUGAGAAGAUUGACAAGCAUGUUGACUUCCCAUUGGAGCUGGAUUUGCAGCCUUAUGCUGUUGGCAAUGAGAGAAAUAAUGUGAGUAUCACCUUCGUUGCUACCAUCUACAAAAUCACUUGACUAAUGGAAUAAUGAUUUUUGAUGUUAUACUUAGUAGUGGGUUUAUAUGGUCUUAUAUUGGUUUUGUGAGCAUAUCAGACAAGACAAAAUUUAUGUUUAAUGCAUGAUUAUUGAACUUGUUUCAUUUGUUAUCCUUUUUGCAAUAGGAGGAACUGAGGUAUCAACUAUUUGCAGUUGUGAAACAUUCUGGAUUCAGACCUACUUCUGGACACUAUGUUUGCUACAUUCGAUCCUCUCCUAAUAUGUGGCAUAAGAUGAAUGAUUCAAGGGUAAGUGUUGAUGAAUUUGUCCACAUUUUAAUGUGCAUUCUGGUUUUUACUAAGGAUAGUUACUAACAUAUCCAGUUUCUGAACUGGAUACAAUGUGUUUCUUGUUGAAAGUUUCUUGCUUAUGAAGGAUACCUUACAGAGGGUUCUGUUUCCCCACUGCUUUAAAUAUUUUGCUUGUUCUUCAAGCAUUUGGAUCUGAUAAUUUCACUGAUAUUGCAAAUUUCCAUCCUAAGUUUGAAAUUUAGGUGUCAACUUGUAAUAUACUCGGUAACAUUUUGAUGGUACUUAGAAUAAUAGUGCAUAAUGGUCAUGUUCUGUCUUUUGUAGGUUACUUGUGUUGAAGAAGAAGCUGUGCUGUCCCAGGAAGCCUAUAUUUUGCUCUAUGCUAAACAGGGUAUACCUUGGUUUUCAACUGCAAUAGAAGUGCAAAAGCCUUGUGCAGACCCUGGAAUUUCUGAUUCUUCACCAAAGUCUGUUCUAGAUGACAUAGACUUUGCCUCCAAUCUUGAGGUGGAAAAGGGUGCCAAUUGCAGCGCCAAUGAAACUAAAGAUGUUGCUGAUAGAGCUUCAACUCAAUUCUCUUGCGAUGCACAGUUUGAAGUUAAGGUUGAUGAACACCGUGUUGUUGCUGAUGGAAUUUCUGGAGUGCCUGCAAAUGAAUCAGAAUUUCAUGUAUCAAAGUCCAUUGACCCUACAGAUGAUGAGCCUAUGACAGAUGCUUCUAUACCACCAUUGAGGUCAAUUAAUUGUUCUGAGGAAGCUACAAAUGACUGUGGUUCCCCUAUAAUGCCAUCCAGAUCUCCAUCCCUAGACAAUUGUCAUAGGAAUAUUUCAGGUAAAAGAAUGCCUUAAUAUUAAGUUCCAUAACGUGCUCAUUUCUAGGAUAACAUGACACAAUUAUACGCCAUACAUUUCAGGAUGCGGUCCACAAACUCAUUUGAAAGAGGAGAAACGAGGUGGUGUUUGUAGAAGAGCAGUAAACAAGAUACCUGAGAUGGAUCAAGGAAGAAUUGAAGCAAUGCGAUAUGCCAAAAAGAUGCCUAGUGCACGAGGCGCUAAACUUAUGGCUCUACUGUCUCCACAAACGGGUAAAAUGAAGAAAAGAAUGGGAUCGUCUCCUUGCAAACGGGUGAGCCCUAGGACCAAACAUAACCAGAACCUUAUGCACCCGGUUCCUGUCUCGCGUUGAUCAGUUUGUGUGCCUUUUUUUGCUUAAAAUCUAAUCGGUUGGUUUUGGCCAUGAUAAACGGCUGAGCUCGUAUCUAUUGUGCUGAACAGGGUUGAUAUACUCAUUCCUGGUUUACUUUUUUAACUUGAGGGAAAUUGUAAAUCUAGGAUAUUGUUUGGGGAAGUAAAUAUUAGAUAUGGGUUUUUCUUUUUUAUAUGUUAGGUUUUGUUAGUUAAGAAACUAAAAUAUUUUAGUAUUUUUAGUUUAAAUCUCUUUCAUUUUAUUGGCUUUUUAAUUAAUUAAAUGAGCUUAUAUUUACCUUAAUUUUGACAUUGGUAUUUUUCAUUAUAUAUUCAUAACAAAAAAAUUUAAAUUAUUAAAAUAUCUCAUAUAACAACCACGAGAGUUAUUUGUUUUGACCUCUAUCUUUUUACCAAUAAUAAGUACUAGUAUUUAUUCGGAUUUUGUUCUCUCAUUAUCAGGUCAGAAAGUUGAAACUAUUCUAUGUAAUUAUUUUUAUAGUUAAUUUUCAUGAAAAAAAAAAAAAGAAGGAAUCUUAUGGUUUUUAAAAUUGGUCGUUGAACAAUGAAAAAAAAAGAAUAUUUUUUUCUUCUCUUAAGUUUAAGUUAACUUAAAAAAUGUAAAAGCAUUAAAUUGAAUUUUAAUUAAACAUUUUUGGCUUUUGAAUUAAGUAGUGGAGUCCUGUGUUAGUAUUUGUUAGGACUAGUCUCUUUAUUUAAUUUAAUUAGGUGUUAAUUUAAUGUAAAUGAACUAUAACUAUGUAAACUUAUUCCUAAUAGAUUGACCUCAAAAUAGUAUAUCCAAAUUAUAGGAGAUUUCAUAGAAGCCACAAGUGCGGAAUUUACACCUUCCAAAUUUGUAUUUGUUUGGGUAUGAAAAUAAAUCGCGAAUCUCUUUUUUCAAUGUAACAAAGGAUGAAGAAAAAAAGAAAUAUUGUUUGUCAAAAAAAAAGGAAACUCGCAAUUAUUUUUUUAUUCCCAAGACAAGACCCAUUUGAAUGCAACAGAUAAUAACGGGGCCCAAGAAUUGAUGUGUAUUCGAGUCAUAAGGGAUAGUAAUUACCGAUAUGCUCAUAUUGGUGACGCUAUUGUUGCUGAGAUCAAGGAAGCAGUACCAAAUUCACCUCUAGAAAGAUCAGAAAUGAUCAGAUCUGUAAUUGUACACUCGUAAAGAACUCAAACGCGACAACGGGAUGAUAAUACGAUAUGAUCACAAUGCUGCAGUUGUCAUUGAUCAAGAAGGACAUCCAAAAGGAACUCGAAUUUUUGGUGCGAUUGCCCGGGAAUUGAGAUAGUUAAAUUCCACUAAAAUAGUUUCAUUAGCUCCCGAGGUAUUAUAAGACGAGACCCAAGUAUAGUUAGAGUAUUUAGAGUAUUUAAAUGGCAUAGAUUAAUUAGUAGAUAGUGUCUCAUGUAUAUACCUUUACUAAGUAGAAAAAAAAAAGAUCACAUUGGUUAUAUCAAAAUUCGGGAGCAACAAAAAUUUUAGUUUACCAUGGGUAAGGACACUAUUACUGACAUAAUAACCUCUAUACGAAAUGCUUAUAUGAAUAGAAAAGGAACGAUUCAAAUAGGAUCACAUGUGACUUUACUUAUGAUAUUUAAACUAAUUUUAAUCUUUUGAGAUAUUGAUAACAAAUAAAAUAUUUAAUAUUUAAUAAUUCUUUUACUUAAAUUCUUUACUGUCUAAUCAAGCCAACUUUAGAUGGGAAAAAAUUUAAGCAAACUUGGAUAAUGUAACUUUCUUUUCAAGUUAAUUUCUCUAGACAUCUGAAAUUAGAGCAGUGGAUGGUGGUGCACAGUUUGAGGUAAUAAUUAAAAUGUUUUAAAAUUUAAAGAUUGAUUUAAAAUAAGAGUUAUACAAUUUAGAAUUUUUUGUGAAAUUAACUUUUAUAUUUUAUAAUUAAGAUUAAAUAAAAUAUUUUGGGUUUUUCUUUGGAGUUUUCCAUUUUUAUUGAUGAUAUUAUAUUAAUGGGUUACGAAACUUGUGUUAUUGAUUUUAUGAUGUUGCUUGUUAGUGGUAUUCACAUGUUUGAACUUUAAAUAUGUCUAUAGAAUAUGAAUUUCAUUUCAUACAAUUUCUAAAGCCAUUCAUUCCACUUCCAUAGUCUCUAGCAAUGCUUUUGAGCAUUUUGAUUUUCUUACCUAAAUUAACCUUAUUUUUGUUAUUACUUGCGGUAAGAAAAUUCAUAAUCUUAGUGUAGAGUAUUAGUGAUAGUAAGGUGCUUUCAUGGGGCAUAGCUACUAUGGCCACCACCACUUCCAUAUCUUCAUUCAUGUGCACCUCCUGCACUGGAGCCGCCACCACCGGAACCUCCCCCGACUCCUUCCCCACUACCAUAUCCACCUCCAUGUGCUCCUCCACCGCCGCCACCGCUACCACCACUGCCAGAACCAUACCCAGAGCCACUUCCUCCUCCACUUCCACUUCCAUAUCCUCCAGCUCCACCUCCACCACCACCACCGCUACCACCACCUCCACCACCUCCACGUCCACCACCCUUACCAGCUCCACCACCUUCACCACUUCCACUUCCACUUCCACUUCCAUAUCCUCCAGAUCCGCCUCCACCACCACCACCACUACCACCACCUCCACCACCUCCAUGUCCACCACCACCAUUACCAGCUCCGCUACCAGCUCCACCACCUUCUCCACUUCCACUUCCACUUCCACUUCCAUAUCCUCCAGCUCCACCAGCACUACCGCCGCCUCCGCCACCACCCUUACCUCCACCUCCACCACCUCCUCCAUUUCCAGCUCCACUACCAGCUCCACCUCCUUCACCAACUCCACUUCCAUAUCCAGAAGCUCCACCUGCACUACCUCCGCCUCCACCACUACCACCACCACCUCCAUGUCCACCAGCACCUCCAUUUCCAACACCACCACCUUCUCCGCUACCACCACCACCUCCAUGUCCAGCACUUACACCUCCUCCUACAACCGCAGAACCACCACCGCCUCCUGAACCGCCUCCACCUCCUCCACCGAGCCCAACACCACCAUAUACACCAAUGGUGGCACCACCAUGACCAAUACCUGGUAGGUGAGAACCUACAUCGUUUAGAGUGAGUAGAGCUCUAGUUGCAGAACAGAUGCCUACACCUAAUAACACAAAUAAAACCGCACCAAACACCUUAUGCAUAGCCAUUUGAACACUUCAAAUCUCACAACCUUGGUUUACAAACCAAGUGAAGGUGGGUAUAUAUAGGGAUUGGAUGGAAGCCUUGAAAACCAAAUACGCAUAUGCUGCAUCCAAAAAAAGGGAUAAGAACUAGCACAUGGAAAAGGAAAGUUGUGGGAUGCCACCACUACAUGGUUCAGUCGUAAGUAAGACACAAGUUUAAACUCACACUAGAAUCCCUAGUGUGCUUUUGCUGGCGCCCACAUUUGCUUAAACUUAAACCUAACAACAUGCAUUUCCACACUUUAUUUAAGUAAAUGAAGCCUCCAAACAUAAUCUAUUUAUCCUUUAGAAUGAUGGAUCUAUGAUUCAGACCAUUGGAUAAUAUAUAUACAUAUAUAUAAUUAUGAGCCUGUUAGAAAUUACUUUUAUAUUAGUCCCCGUUUUGGAAAUAUAAGUAACAUAAAUAUCUACAAAUAAUGCAGAUGUGAUUUAUCAUUGAAUAGGCUAUGAAACUAUUUCAUGUUGGUGGCAUAACCAUGAUAGGCCGAUUCCAAUGACUUCAGCUUGAGGAAAUGUUUGCAUUUACUGUUGUAAUCUUAAUAAAGUUGAUUAAUAAUUGCAUAUCAUAUGAUAAUCGACCACCUUCUCUAAAUUGGCCUAUCCUAUUUAGAGGGGCACCCACCACUUUUGAAAAUCCACCAAAUUAUCUCAAUAGUUGAAGUUAAAUAUUGGGGGAAAAAAACUGUUAGAAAAAUAAGUAUAAUUAUGACCUUUCAAAAGAAAGAGAGAGGUAUGGUUUAAGGUAUAAUGAUUAAUUUAGUGCUUAAUAUUUAUAUAUUUUUUUAAUUUGGUUUCUAUUUUUAUUUUAGUCAAAUUUGACUUUUGAUCUUUCAAAAAGAAAAAGAAUCAAAUCACAUGGUACAGUAAGCCACAUGGUAGUUCAGAUGUACUUCAUCCUGACAUAACACUAUUUGUCUUAUAUGUUACAUUAACAAAUAAUUUUAAAAUUAAAGAUAUUCAAAGAUAAAAUGUCUAAAAAAAAGCGUAAAGGACAUGUAGAUUACCAUGCAGACUAUCACUUCAGUCAAUAUUUUUGUUAAAACAACAAUAAUUCAACUCUUUUUAAAAAGUUAAUAAUCAAAUUUGUCUUUUUUUUUUAAAUAAUGAGGGUUAAAUUGGUAAAAAAUAUCAACGUUAAAGGCUAAUUUCAUCGUACCAUAGUUUAAUUAGUAGGUGUAGAAAGAAAGUGCCUUAAAUUAGCAUGGUGGAGAAUGAUGUUAUAUCGUCCACCAUAUUCUAAGCAAAUCUUAAUAAGGGAAUAGAUUUUGUACAGUAUUAACAUUUGAUCCCACUUCAAAACAUAGAUUUCAAAGAUUAGCAUCCACUGAUUUUCCAUUACCAAACGAAGAAUCAAUGUUAAGUGAACCCAUUGUUAACUCAUUAAUUUUCAGGUCUGAAACCAUUUGCUUGAUUUCAAAGAUAGAGGCUCUUCUUACUUUUUAACAUUGCAAUAGCGCAUGCAUGAACGAGAGAGAGAGAGAGUAGUGGAAGAACCACAUGCAAUGCAAAGAGCACACCCACCAUCCCUUCCCUUUGGCAUUCCCUCAAUAAGUGAGGGUCCACCAAUGCAUUCUCUAAAACUACAUCAUCUCUGACGUCUGUAACACAUACAGGAUACAACUUGGUUUCUUUUUGCAGACAGUUGUUCAUCCAUCCCUUUGUACUUAGCUUAAGGAUGUUUUGCUAUGUUUCAUUCUUUCUUGCUUGCUUUUGUAUGUUCUUUGGUUUGAUCAAAUUGGUCCUAUCUUUGGACUUUUCCCGGUCCAGUUCAAACCCAAUAUUGUAGAUAAAACCCUUUGUAAAAUGACUCGAUAAGGGUAACUUUUUGUAGCUUCAACUAUUUAACAUAAAUUUUUUUACUUCACCCUCGUAACCAAUGUGAAACAUAUGGUCGAAUUUUUAAUUUAAAUACUUCUAUGAAGUACUUGUCUUGCCAUAUAUAUGAUAUUAUAACAGCACAAACGAGUAAAAAGAACAUAUAUAUCUCUUUCAUUUCUCAAAGUUUUUUUUUUUUUUUUUGCAUUAGCAGGAACAUAAAGAGAAACAUAAUUUUGAGAAUUAACUACCAAAGCCCAAGGUUUCAAAUUAACAAAAAAAAAAAAAGAAAGAAGAAAUCAGACAUAAAUCCAAUUAAAGCUUUAGAAAAAGAAACCCCAUUGGGUCCAUAACCAUAAGCAAAGUGCGCCCAAUUUUUGUGUUUUCGGAUAUCUAAUUUUAAAUCUUAUUAUGUAAGUAUGUUAUAUAUGAAUUUUAUUCGGUUCUUUAUCCAAAAAUCAUGUAAGGCUUCGUUCCCGAGGAACACUUGCUACCAUCAAAGGUACGUGAUAAACUAAAAUACCUUUGAAAGUUUGGACAACUAGGGGUGGGGGUCCCCAUUGGAUAUGUGGAAGAUAGAAAACAUUCCUAAGUAAUAAUUUACUUCACUUUUUAUCGUGUCUGAGUAAUCAUGCAAUUGUGUGUAUUCAUCCUAUAUAUAUCCUACAUGAAACACGUAUACUCGAAAUCAGCUUUAAGCAGCAAUGCAUUUGUGGUGGGACUCCACGGUGAAACCCUCAUCGUUUCGUUGGUUCACUGCCAAAAGAUUCGCCUUAUUAUUAUUAGUUUUGCGAAUGAAGCAAUAGGGCAUGAGGGGAAUGCUUGUUAUGUUUGCUGUUUGAUUUGAUAGCUGAACAGCUGCAUUAUAUCAUCUGCUGCUACCACUUUAUUCAUUCAACCUCAGUUUCUAAUGGUUAUGGUUUCAUAGGUUUUAAGAAUAAAAAAUCGGUUGAAUUUAAUAAAAAUUGUUUGAAUCGAUAAAUCACUAAUUUAAUCAAUUCAAUCAUCACUUUAUUCUUUUACUUGAGGACAAGUAGUGACGGAGCUUGAGGAAGGUUAUAAGUAACCUUGACUUCCAAAAUUGGUAAAAAUACUUUAAAUAAUUUUUAGAAAUUAUAAAAAUAUAAAUUAAUAUAAAAUUUUUAUUUUAAUCCCGCACAUUUAUUGUAAAAAUAGAAUGUCGGUAACGAUAAUAUAUCGCAAAGAAAAGAGAAAUAAAAAUAAAGAACGCACAAAUUUUUACGUGGAAACCCUUUCGGGAAAAAACCACGGGUAGAGGAGAAGAAAAUUUACUAUAUCGAAUUCGAAUAAUUAUAAGAUGAGUAAACUAUGUCUAUUUAUAGGCUUGUAAAGUCAUAUUCUAAUAGGAGUGUAGUAAGAUUGAAACACCUUAUUCUAAUCAAUAUCAAAUAGAUGGAGUUUAAUAAAUUCAACCUUAUUCUAAUCAAUAUCAAAUAAAUGGAGUUUAAUAAAGUUUAAAAAACCUUAUUCUAAAAGAAAAGAAAAGAAGUGUAGUUCUAUAGGGAUUUUAUUUUUAUUUUAUUUUACCACUGUUUUUAUUUAAAUAAGGAUUUGGGUCACUUAAUUCUAAGAAUCUCCACCUUGACACGAAUUCUCAAUUAUCAAGUUCUUCAUUGCGAACUCUCAACGAACAAGUUCUCCACCUAUUCCAUAAAACCCUUUAAGGGCUUAACUUCAACAAUGAACACGAAUAAUAUCACGAACAAAAUGAUACCGAACAUCAAUGUGUUUUGUUCUCUUAUGAAACAUUUGAUCUCUUAUAAGGAAGAUGACACUCUAACUGUCAAAAAAUAUUGUAUUGAUUUGAAGGUCUUCAUUGAGUUCACUAAAGAGUCCCUUGAUUUGAAGGUCUUCAUUGAGUUCACUAAAGAGUCCCUUCAACCAAAUAGCUUCUUUACAAGCCUCAGUAAUCGCCAUGUACUCAACUUCAGUGGUAAACAAAGCGCCUGUAGUUUACAAAGUGGCUUUCCAACUGAUUACACAACCUCCGAUUGUAAAGACAUAACUUGUAAGAGAUCUUCUUCUAUCAAGGUCUCCAGCAAAAUCAGCAUCAACAUACCCAAUGACUCCAUCUCUAGUUCUUCCAAACUGUAAGCAAACAUCAGUAGUACAUCGUAAGUAUCUUAAAAUCCACUGAACUGCUUUUCAAUAUUCUUUAUCGGGACUCACCAUGUAUCUGCUACUACAUUGACUGCAUAUGAUAAAUUUGGACGUGAACAAACCAUAGUAUACAUGAAAGAUCCCACUACACUAGAGUAUGGAACAUGUGACAUGUACUCAAUCUCAUCAUCUGAUUGUGGAGACAAAGGCAAUGAAAGUUUAAAAUGGGCUGCUAAAGGAAACUAACAGGCUUAGCACUCUGCAUAGUAAACCUGUAAAGAACUUUCUCAAUGUACCCCUUCUGAUUUAGGUACAAUUUACUUGCUUUUCUAUCUCUAAGUAUCUCCAUACCAAGUAUCUUUUUUGCUGGUCCCAAAUAUUUCAUCUCAAAUUCUUCACUUAGUUGGGCUUUGACCUUUCUUAUCUCUUCUUUAUCUUUUGUUGCUAUCAACAUGUCAUCAACAUAAAGGAGUAGAUACACAAAAGAACCAUCACUGUUUUUCUUAAAGUAAACACAAUUGUCAAAGCUACUUUUUUUCAAAUCAUAAGAAGUCAUAAAGGAAUCAAACCUCUUGUACCACUAUCUUCGUGACUGUUUCAGAUCGUAAAGGGACUUUUUCAGCAAGCAAACAUAAUCCUCUUUUUUUGAAACUGUAAAACCCUCUGGUUGUUGCAUGUAAAUAUCCUCCUCAAGUUCUCCAUACAAAAAUACAGUUUUUACAUCUAACUGCUCAAGCUCCAAAUCAUGCAUAGCCACAAUACCAAACAAAGUUCGAAUCGAAGUAUGCUUCACAAUUGGGGAGAGCACAUCUGUGAAGUCCACUACUGGAAUUUGACUGUAACCCUUUGCAACAAGCUUUGAUUUAUAUCUGGGUUCUUCAACUCCUGGAGUCCCUUCUUUCUUUUUAAACACCCAUUUACAAUGAAUAACUUUUUUACCUUUAGAAAUUUUCACAAGAUCCCAUAUUUUGUUUUUGUGGAGUGAUUCCAUCUCCUCUUGCAUAACAAACAUCUAAUUUUCUGAGUCUUCACAACUAACCGUCUCAGAAUAAUUAGAUGGCUCUUGGUUUGCAUCUAUAUCUUCAGCCAUAUUUAAAGCAUAAGCAACUAGAUCAGCCUCGGCAUACUUCUUUGGAGGUUUAAUUUCUCUUCUAGCUCUGUUUUUGGUGAUAGAGUGUUGUGGUGAAGAAGUAACUCUAUUCUGAAUUUUUGUAUUGGCUUGAAGAGUCGACUUUAUUAUAGAUUCUGGAUUAAUCUGAUGUUUCACCUGCUUUUGAUUUUCUUUAUUAGAAGAGCCUUUAAGAGAUAAGUUAGGUAGCAUAGCAGUUUCAUCAAAAAUAAUACCUCUACCAAUCACAACUUUUCUAUUUUCAGGACACCAUAACUUAUACCCUUUUACACCAGUUUAUAACCAAGAAAAACACAUUUAAUGGAUCUCGGUUCCAAUUUUCCAUUAUCAACAUGAACAUAAGCAGGACACCCAAAAAUCAUUAAAUCAGAAUAGUCAGCAGGAUUACUAGACCAUACCUCUUGUGGAGUUUUUUUCUCAAUGGCAACGUGUAACACCCCUUACCCGAGACCAUCUCCGGAAUCGAGUACGAGAUGUCAUCCAAUUUAACUUACCGAUUCGGAGCAUAAAAAUUUGCUUUUAAAAUUAAAUUCACUGUUCAUAACAACACUGUCCACCUGCGCAACUGUCACUAAUUUAAUUAUAACUUGAGUUACGAAACUCAAAAUUUAAAUCCGUAAAUUUUCCGUGAAACUAGACUCAUAUUCCUACUUACCAUAAAAUUUUCAGAAUUUUUGACUUAGCACAUUAGUACAGUUUAUUCAUUAAAGUAUCCCCUGUUUCACAGCUCGACAGAUCUGACCUCUUGGCGUUAAAAAUCAAAUAUCUAAUUGUACAGAAUUCAUAUAAGGUUACCAUUAAUUUAUUUUGAAAAUAGACUCACUAAGGAAUCUAAACAUAUAAAUUAUGACCUAUAAUUAUUUCUGUACAAUUUAUAAUGAUUUUCUAAAUUUAGAACAGGGGACUUCAAAAACCAUUCUGACCCUGUCUCACUAAAAUUUAAAUAUCUCAAAAUAUAAAAUUUUUUUGCCUACACCUUUUCUUUCAUGUAAAAAUAGACUUGAUAAGCUUUAAUUCUAUAUAUCAUUCACCCUCUAAUUCCAUUUCUACUAUUUAUGGUGAUUUUUCACAUUCACGUCACUGCUGCUGUCAAAGAAACUGCUUCUUUGAAUUAGUUACCAUUUAAACAUACAUAACUCCAAAACAUAUUCUUUAAUAACUACUUCAAUAGCUAACAUUAGCCAUAUCAUUUGGACAUGCUCAAAAUGAUUAAGACUCUAUACAUGCCAUAGUUUAAACAUUUUGAAAAGCACAUAAUACCGAGAUGGUUAUGAUAGUGUGAUACGAGCUCCGACGGUCCACUAUUCGAUCAAGUUCAAAUCACUAUAAAACAAAGAAAAGAAAGAGAUGUGUAAGCUAUAAAUAGCUUAGUAAGUUACAUGUAAACAAUAAUUACUCAAUUAAUAAUUAACACUUUUAACAUAUAACUAAUCAAAACAUUUCUUAGCAAUUUCAAUCACUUACACAUACACAAUCUUACCAAUUCAUUUGCAUAUACAUUUUCACACUUAACAUUUCAUAUUCACUUUAAUUCAUUAUUAAUCCCGUUGAACACUUGGAAUAUACACGGAUACGUAGAGAUUUAGCACAUAAGUGCCACACUGAUAUGUAGCCGAAGCUACCACUGAUAUGUAGCCGAAGCUACCACUGGAUGUAGCCAAAGCUACCACUGAAAUGUAGCCGAAGCUACCACUGAUCAAUAACACUGGAAAUGUCCACGGGUCUGCUCACACAAGCUGUCAGGUGUCUGCAACACAUGCUAGAUCACCCAGCACCCGGGACUCACUGUAACACUGUAACACUGGUCUCUAGUGACAUGUCACUUGUAUCCAAUUCUAUUCCUAAGUUCAACCGAGAAUUUACACUUAACACUUUAUUUUCAACACUUUAUCACUUGAAUAAUUCAUGAACAACUUUCCUUCCACAUUCAAUAUUAAUUCACAUAUCAAAUAUAAUUCACAAUUUAUACAAAUAUAACUAUUAUUUACAUAUAACUUACCUCGGAUGCAAAACGACUAUUUUUGUAAUUUAGUCGAUAACUUUCUCUUUUUCCCGAUCACUUGCACUAUUUCUUCUUUCUUGAUCUAUAUUAACACAAUUUAAUACAUUUUAUCAAUAUUCCAUUCAAAUACAAUUCAUACACAACAUUUUGACACAUUUACAUUUUUCCCCAUAACUUUUCAAAAAUUCCACUUUUGUUCCUAAGCUCGUAAAAAUAAAAUUCUCUAAAUUCUUAAAUUUCAAACUUCACUAAAUCAUAUUUCAUGCUCAUAACGGGCCUCAAUCUCACAAAAUCACAACUUUAUGCACACUUUACCAUCUUUCACAAUUUAGCCCUUUUUCAACAUUUUUCAUUGAAAUUCAUCUAGUAAAACUUGUAAUUAACACUUCAAACAUUCAUUAUCUAACAUCACUAAUCAAUUUACAAUUAUAUCAUGAAUGGGUCAAUUUUUAAACUUUAAUUUCAUUUAAAUUAAAUGGUAGAAACAUGAAAUUCAAGCUUCAAUAAGCAUAAAAUACGAAAAUAAUUAAAAACGGGGCAAGAAAUCACUUACAAUUGAGCUUAGGAAAAUCAAAACCCUUAACUAUGGUAACCUGAAACUUUCGGCAGCAAGCUUCUGAUUUUUUUGAAGAAGAUGGACACUUAUUUUCUCUUUAUUUUGUCUUUUACCCAAUUUGGACAAAAAUGCCCUUGACCCAUUACUUAGAUAUUUUUCUAGAAAUACCCUUUUGUGUCCAUAACACUAAUUUAUGGUCUAAUUGCCACAUAAACACUUCCAAUUUCAUGCAAUAAUUCAAUUAAGUCAUUUAAUCACUAAUUAGACACACUUUGCAUUUUUCUCAAUUUAGUACUAAAAAUUCAAUUAAGCACUAAAGCAUUAAAAUUUCCUAUCCAUAUUUCCACACAAUAUUUCAAUCAAUCAGUAACUAAUAAAAAUUUAUAAAAUUAAACUAUUUCACUUCGGAUUUGUGGUUACGAAACCACUAUUCCGAUUAGGCCCUAUUUCGGGCUAUCACAAUUCUCCCCCCUUAGGGAUUUUCGUCCCCGAAAAUCUUACCAGUGAAUAAGUUGGGAUACUGUUUCCUCAUAGCCUCCUCGGUUUCCCAUGUUGCCUCUUCCACCCCAUGUCGUUGCCAUAACACUUUCACUAAAGCAAUUUCUUUGUUUCUCAACUGUUUCACUUCUCGUGCCAAGAUUCGAAUCGGUUCUUCUUCGUAUGUCAUAUCCGAUCGAAUUUCCACUUCAGUCGGUGAAAUCACAUGUGAUGGGUCCGAUCGAUAUCGCCUCAACAUAGAAACAUGAAACACAUUAUGAAUUCUUUCCAAUUCCGGUGGUAAAGACAAUCGAUAAGCCACUGGACCAAUUCUUUCUAUCACUUCAUACGGACCAAUAAAUCUUGGACUUAAUUUGCCUUUACGGCCAAAUCUCAAAAUUUUCUUCCAUGGAGACACUUUCAAAAAUACUUUAUCUCCCACUUGAAACUCAAUCUCUUUUCUUUUCAAGUCCGCAUACGACUUCUGUCGAUCCGAUGCAGCUUUCAAACAAUCACGGAUUAUCUUCACUUUUUCUUCGGUUUCUUUUACCAAAUCGACUCCAUGUAACUGAUUUUCAUUAAUUUCAGUCCAAUAUAAUGGAGUCCGACACUUUCGUCCAUACAACGCUUCAUAAGGUGCCAUUUUUAUGCUUGACUGAUAACUAUUAUUAUAAGCAAAUUCCACCAAAGGUAAAUAUCUUUCCCAAUUACCUUCAAAUUCCAAUACACAACAUCUCAACAUGUCUUCGAGUAUUUGAAUUACUCUUUCAGACUGUCCAUCGAUUUGGGGAUGGAAUGUUGUACUAAAAUUCAAUUUAGUACCCAAUGCCUCUUGUAAUUUCUUCCAAAACCUUGAAGUAAAUCGUGGAUCUCUAUCAGAUAUAAUAGACAUAGGUACACCAUGUAAUUGGACUAUCUCAGCAAUAUACAAUUCAGCUAACUUGUCAAGUGAAAAACUCAUUCGCACAGGAAUGAAAUGAGCCGACUUAGUCAAUCGAUCAACUAUAACCCAAAUUGAGUCUUUCUUUUUCGGUGACAAUGGCAAUCCAGAAACAAAAUCCAUAGUAAUUCUAUCCCAUUUCCACUCGGGCACCAUAAUAGGUUGAAGUAAUCCUGAAGGUACUUGGUGUUCAGCUUUUACUUGUUGGCACACUAAACACUUUGUCACAUACUCGGAGAUAUCCCGUUUCAUACCCGACCACCAAUAAAAUUUCUUCAAAUCAUUGUACAUUUUUACACUACCGGGGUGAACUGCCAAAUGACUAUCAUGUGCUUCUUGCAAAAUUUUCUGAAUUAAAUCAACAUUUUUCGGAACACAUAUGCUAUCACGAAACAUUAAACAUCCAUCUGAAUCAAUCUGAAAAUCAGAAUUAUUGUCCACUGCACACUGAGUCUUUCUUCUUUGCAAUUCAUUAUCCACUUUCUGAGCCUCACAAAUUUCUUGAAGAAACAAUGGUCUAGCUUUUAACUCUGCAAACAAUGAUCCAUCUUCAGUCAAUGUUAAUCUCGUAUUCAAAGCUCUCAAAGCAAAGAGAGACUUUCUGCUCAAAGCAUCAGCAACUAUAUUAGCUUUUCCCGGAUGAUAAUCUAUCACAAGUUCAUAAUCUUUCAACAAUUCCAACCAUCUUCUUUGCCGCAAAUUCAGAUCUUUUUGUGUCAUAACAUAUUUCAAACUUUUAUAAUCUGUAAAAACACGACAUUUCUCACCAUAUAAAUAAUGACGCCAAAUCUUCAAAGCAAAGACAAUAGCAGCCAACUCUAAAUCAUGGGUAGGAUAAUUUCGUUCAUGCGGUUUCAAUUGUCGAGAAUCAUACGCUAUCACCUUUCCUUCUUGCAUCAAUACACAUCCAAGCCCAUUUAGUGACGCGUCACUAUAAACAACAAAUUCCUUUCCUGACUCAGGUUGCACUAACACUGGUGCCUCAGUUAAACACUUCUUUAAUUUCUCAAAACUUUGUUGACACUCCUCGGUCCAUUCGAACUUAACAUCUUUUUGCAACAAUUUUGUCAUCGGUGAAGCUAUCAUCGAAAAACCUUCUACAAAUCGACGAUAAUAUCCGGCUAAGCCCAGAAAACUCCUAACUUCAGAUACAUUUCUUGGAGGCUUCCACUCAACUAUUGCCGAUAUCUUAUUCGGAUCCACUCGAAUGCCAUCUAUUCGGGGUAAUGGAUACUUAUUCUUCACUGUCACUUUGUUAAGUUGACGAUAAUCAAUACACAAUCUCAAUGUCCCAUCCUUUUUCUUCACAAAUAGCACGGGAGCACCCCAUGGAGAGUAACUUGGUCUAACAAAUCCUUUAUCUGUCAGCUCUUGUAAUUGCACUUUUAAUUCUUUUAAUUCAGUUGGUGCCAUUCUGUAGGGAGCAAUCGAUAUUGGAACAGUACCUGGCAUUACUUCAAUACCAAACUCUACUUCUCUAAUCAGAGGCAAACCUGGCAACUCUUCUGGGAACACAUCUACAUAUUCACAUACCACUGGCACUGAUUCGAUCUCACAUUUUAAAACUUUUCUAUCUCUUCUCUUUCCGGACAAUCUUUCACAAAAUGAUCUUGAGAUCCACAUUUAAAACAAGCUCGGCUGAUUAAAUAACAUUCCCCCAAAUGUCGUUUUCCACAAUGUUGACAUUCUGGUCUAGUAGGUUUAACACUACCUGUACUUGCCAUAGAAGUUGCCUGAGCUUUAGAACCUGAAUAUUGUCUUCCUCGAUCUCUUUGAAAAUUCACACUAGAAACAUUCGAUCGAGUAUUCAUUUCUUUAAACUUCUUCGCUUGAGACUGAAAUGGCUUGCCCAUUGAUCUUUUUCUUUCAUCUCUUGCUUCACUUUCCACCUUUCUUUUCUCUUUGCUCAAUUCUUCAGCCUUGAUAGCUCUUUCAACUAGUACCACUAACUCUUUAAUUUCAAGAAUUCCCACUAGCAAUCGGAUAUCCUCGUUUAAUCCAUCUUCAAACCUUUUACACAAUGUAGCUUCAUUAGAUACACACUCUUGGGCAUACUUGCUUAAUUUGACAAAUUCUCGCUCAUAUUCGGCUACCGUCAUGCGCCCUUGUUUCAAUUCAAGAAACUCUUUUCUCUUUUGAUCAAUGAAACGCUGACUCACAUACUUCUUCCGGAAUUCUUCUUGAAAGAAGUCCCAUGUAACUUUCUCUUUAGGCACCACUGACACUAAAGUUUUCCACCAAUUAUAAGCCGAAUCCCUCAGCAAUGAGAUAGCACAUUUGAGACUUUCUUUUGGAGUACAAGAUAAUUCAUCCAACACUCUGAUAGUAUUAUCAAGCCAGAACUCUACUCUUUCAGGAUCAUCAAUUACAUUAGCUCGGAACUCUUCGGCUCCAUACUUUUGAAUUUUGUCCACUGGAGGCUUUGACAAUUUUAACACUUCAGUUUGUUGAGGAGCUAUGGGAACAGCUUGAGGAAUAGGAGGGGGCGGAGGAGGUUGAGCAUUAGGAUUAGUUCUAACAAACUCAGUGUACCAAUUGUUCAUCAUUUGGAGAAAAGCUUCUCGAGCCUCAUCUCCUUGACCCUGAGUCUCGAAUCGACUUUCAACAGGCACAUUACUUUGAGCAUCAUCAGCUGUAUCUCGGUUAGAAUCCAUUACUAUAAAAAAAACAUUUUAAGAUGUCAGGAGUCGUCACACUAUCAUUAUUCAAUUAUGGCAUGUAUAGAUAGUCUAUUACACUCGCUACGUUAGUCCGAGAAUCGACUAAACCGUAGCUCUGAUACCACUAUAUGUAACACCCCUUACCCGAGACCGUCUCCGGAAUCGAGUACGAGAUGUCAUCCAAUUUAACUUACCGAUUCGGAGCAUAAAAAUUUACUUUUAAAAUUAAAUUCACUGUUCAUAACAACACUGUCCACCUGCGCAACUGUCACUAAUUUAAUUAUAACUUGAGUUACGAAACUCAAAAUUUAAAUCCGUAAAUUUUCCAUGAAACUAGACUUAUAUUCUUACUUACCAUAAAAUUUUCAGAAUUUUUGACUUAGCACAUUAGUACAGUUUAUUCAUUAAAGUAUCCCCUAUUUCACAGCUCGACAGAUCUGACCUCUUGGCGUUAAAAAUCAAAUAUCUAAUUGUACAGAAUUCAUAUAAGGUUACCAUUAAUUUAUUUUGAAAAUAGACUCACUAAGGAAUCUAAACAUAUAAAUUAUGACCUAUAAUUAUUUCUGUACAAUUUAUAAUGAUUUUAUAAAGUUAGAACAGGGGACUUCAAAAACCAUUCUGACCCUGUCUCACUAAAAUUUAAAUAUCUCAAAAUAUAAAAUUCGUUUUCCUACACCUUUUCUUUCAUGUAAAAAUAGACUUGAUAAGCUUUAAUUCUAUAUAUCAUUCACCCUCUAAUUCCAUUUCUACUAUUUAUGGUGAUUUUUCACAUUCACGUCACUGCUGCUGUCAAAGAAACUGCUUCUUUGAAUUAGUUACCAUUUAAACAUACAUAACUCCAAAACAUAUUCUUUAAUAACUACUUCAAUAGCUAACAUUAGCCAUAUCAUUUGGACAUGCUCAAAAUGAUUAAGACUCUAUACAUGCCAUAGUUUAAACAUUUUGAAAAGCACAUAAUACCGAGAUGGUUAUGAUAGUGUGAUACGAGCUCCGACGGUCCACUAUUCGAUCAAGUUCAAAUCACUAUAAAACAAAGGAAAGAAAGAGAUGUGUAAGCUAUAAAUAGCUUAGUAAGUUACAUGUAAACAAUAAUUACUCAAUUAAUAAUUAACACUUUUAACAUAUAACUAAUCAAAACAUUUCUUAGCAAUUUCAAUCACUUACACAUACACAAUCUUACCAAUUCACUUGCAUAUACAUUUUCACACUUAACAUUUCAUAUUCACUUUAAUUCAUUAUUAAUCCCGUUGAACACUUGGAAUAUACACGGAUACGUAGAGAUUUAGCACAUAAGUGCCACACUGAUAUGUAGCUGAAGCUACCACUGAUAUGUAGCCGAAGCUACCACUGGAUGUAGCCAAAGCUACCACUGAAAUGUAGCCGAAGCUACCACUGAUCAAUAACACUGGAAAUGUCCACGGGUCUGCUCACACAAGCUGUCAGGUGUCUGCAACACAUGCUAGAUCACCCAGCACCCGGGACUCACUGUAACACUGUAACACUGGUCUCUAGUGACAUGUCACUUGUAUCCAAUUCUAUUCCUAAGUUCAACCGAGAAUUUACACUUAACACUUUAUUUUCAACACUUUAUCACUUGAAUAAUUCAUGAACAACUUUCCUUCCACAUUCAAUAUUAAUUCACAUAUCAAAUAUAAUUCACAAUUUAUACAAAUAUAACUAUUAUUUACAUAUAACUUACCUCGGAUGCAAAACGACUAUUUUUGUAAUUUAGUCGAUAACUUUCUCUUUUUCCCGAUCACUUGCACUAUUUCUUCUUUCAUGAUCUAUAUUAACACAAUUUAAUACAUUUUAUCAAUAUUCCAUUCAAAUACAAUUCAUACACAACAUUUUGACACAUUUACAUUUUUCCCCAUAACUUUUCAAAAAUUCCACUUUUGUCCCUAAGCUCGUAAAAAUAAAAUUCUCUAAAUUCUUAAAUUUCAAACUUCACUAAAUCAUAUUUCAUGCUCAUAAUGGGCCUCAAUUUCACAAAAUCACAACUUUAUGCACACUUUACCAUCUUUCACAAUUUAGCCCUUUUUCAACAUUUUUCAUUGAAAUUCAUCUAGUAAAACUUGUAAUUAACACUUCAAACAUUCAUUAUCUAACAUCACUAAUCAAUUUACAAUUAUAUCAUGAAUGGGUCAAUUUUUAAACUUUAAUUUCAUUUAAAUUAAAUGGUAGAAACAUGAAAUUCAAGCUUCAAUAAGCAUAAAAAUACGAAAAUAAUUAAAAACGGGGCAAGAAAUCACUUACAAUUGAGCUUAGGAAAAUCAAAACCCUUAACUAUGGUAACCUGAAACUUUCGGCAGCAAGCUUCUGAUUUUUUUGAAGAAGAUGGACACUUAUUUUCUCUUUAUUUUGUCUUUUACCCAAUUUGGACAAAAAUGCCCUUGACCCAUUACUUAGAUAUUUUUCUAGAAAUACCCUUUUGUGUCCAUAACACUAAUUUAUGGUCUAAUUGCCACAUAAACACUUCCAAUUUCAUGCAAUAAUUCAAUUAAGUCAUUUAAUCACUAAUUAGACACACUUUGCAUUUUUCUCAAUUUAGUCCUAAAAAUUCAAUUAAGCACUAAAGCAUUAAAAUUUCCUAUCCAUAUUUUCACACAAUAUUUCAAUCAAUCAGUAACUAAUAAAAAUUUAUAAAAUUAAACUAUUUCACUUCGGAUUUGUGGUUACGAAACCACUAUUCCGAUUAGGCCCUAUUUCGGGCUAUCACACAACGGAUGGAGAUUGGUUGACCAAAAAACAUACAGUUGAGGCUGCUUCGGCCCAAAAUGACUUUGGUAAGUUGGCAUUUGACAAUAUACAUUGAACCUUUUUCAUGAUAGUUUUGUUCAUUCGUUCUGUAACGCCGUUUUGCUAUGGAGUAUGAUGAACUAUCAAGUGUCUCACGAUCCCUUCUGACUUGCACAGUUUAUUAAACUCAUCAGAACAAAACGCUAAGACAUUGUCUGUGCAGAGGUACUUUAUUUGUUUUACCGUCUGUUUUUCAAUCAUAGUUUUUUAAGACUUAAAUACGGAAAAUAUAUCACUUUUCUGCUUCAGGAAGAACGCCCAAAAUUUUUUGGAAAAAUCAUCAAUAAAAGUUAGCAUGUAAUUAGCUCCACUCUCAAAGGCACUCUGGAUGGCCCCCACAGAUCAGAAUGAAUAUAGUCCAACGUUCCUUUCGCGUUAUGGAUUCCUCUGGUGAAUUAAACUCUCUUUUACUUCCCAAAAAUACAGUGUUCACAGAACUUCAGUUUGUAAAUUCUUUACCCAUCAAGAAGUCCUCUUUUGCUAAAUUUUGCCAUGUUAUUCUCACUCAGAUGCCCUAGGCGCAUAUGCCAAAGUUUAGUAAUAUCAUCAUCUGACAAGGAAAAUGAAGCGACAGCUGCAUCACCAGUAACAGUAGAACCCUACAGAACAUAUAACUUUGCAGUCUCUCUUUUCCCUUUCAUCACAAUGAGGGAACCUUUGAAAAUCUUCAAAACCCCACUUUCAGCUGUGUAUUUGUACCCUUUUGAAUCAAGAGUACUCAAUGAAAUUAAAUUUCUCUUCAAUUUUGGAACAUGUCGUACGUCACUAAAUGUUCUAACAACUCCAUCAAAUAUUUUAACUUUAAUUGUUCCAACACCUGCAAUUUUACACGAAGCAUUGUUUCCCAUCAAAACAACACCUUUAGACACUGUUUCAUAAGUUGUAAACCAAUCCCGAUUGGGACUCAUGUGGAAGGUGCGUCCCGAAUUAAGGCCACUCUUCGCUCACUUUAGAAUUGUUGACAGAAGCGACUAGAAGUUCACCAUCGCUGUAGUCUUCUACAACAUUAGCUUCUCCGAAAUUUUCUGGUUGUUUUCCCUUUUGAUUCGUAACCUCCCUUUUGAUCUUAUUUUGUAGCUUAUAACACUCAGUUUUAAUAUGCAUUUUCUUCUUGCAGAAGUUACAAGUUUUACCUCUGUUUGAAGACUUCGAUUUAGCCUUAGAUUUACUGCGAGGAUUUCGUUCCUGUAUCCUUCCACGAUCAUCAUCAGUAUUCCGAUCUUGUCUCCCACGAAUAAUGAGACCCUCUCCUUGAUAGUCAGUUUUAACCAUAAGAUGCUUCAUCUUAUCAUAUGAGGUUAAAGAAUCAUAAACCUCAUCAACUGUUAAGACUCGCAGCUAUAUAAAAUCGUGUCUCUAAAGGUUGAAUAAGACGGGGGCAACGAACAAAGUAGAAUCAACCCUAGAUCUUCCUUAUCAUACUGAACCUCCAUGGCUUCCAAGUUUGAGAGAUUUUCUUUAAACACUAGUAAGUUUUCGUACACAGAAGCAUCGUCUUCCAAACGAUGAGCAUAAAGACGCUGCUUCAUAUGCAGCUUGCUGGUUAGAGUUUUUGACAUACUUGUUCCAACCUCUUCCAUAAUCCAGCGGCGGUCUUCUCCUUCGUCACAUCUUGCAAAAUUUCAUUAGACAAAUACAGAUGUAACUGUGUUAACGCCUUUCGAUCCUUACGCUUCUUCUCUUCCUCCGUCAAUGUCGAAAGCAUCUUAUCUACCCCUAGUAGGGCUUCCUCGAUGUCCAUCUGUGCAAGAACUGUCUGCAUCUUUAUCUGCCACAACGUGAAUCUGGUGUUGCGAUCCAACAACAAAAUUUCAUACUUCAAAGACGCCAUUACCUGAAUAAGAUGAACAACCCGGAAGCUCGGAUACCAAUUUGUAAAAAUAGAAUGUCGGUAAUGACAAUAUAUCACGAAGAAAAGAGAAAUAAAAAUAAAGAGCACACAGAUUUUUACGUGGAAACCCUUUCGGGAAAAAACCAUGGGCAGAGGAGAAAAAAAUUCACUAUGUUGAAUUCGAAUAAUUACAAGAGGAAUAGACUAUGUCUAUUUAUAGGCUUGUAAAACCAUAUUCUAAUAGGAAUGUAGUAAGAUUGAAACACCUUAUUCUAAUCAAUAUCAAAUAGAUGGAGUUUAAUAAGGUUUAAAAAACCUUAUUCUAAAAUAAAAUAAAAGAAGUGUAGUUCUAUAGGGAUUUUACUUUUAUUUUAUUUUACCACUGUAUUUUAUUUAAAAAAAAUUCGAGUCACUUAAUUCUAACAUUUAUAAUUUAUUUUUGGCUCAAAAGGGAACAUCAAAUGACAAAUAAAUCUACAAAAACCAAACUCUAGGAUGGCCUUAUACCCAUAUAGGCAAGUGACAUAUUCAUAUUAAAUACAUGCAUUUUGAGGGAAUGGUUAGUCAAGUUGCCAUUUCCUCCUCAAAUCAUAACCAAAAUCUUAAGUUCAACAAUGAAAACACAAUACUAAAAUUAUAAAGUAGUUAGAAGAAGUCGAAGUGGAACUUUUUCUUUGUCAAGUAUCUGGUUUAAGUUUGAAUUUGAGAGUCGACAUUAUUAAAAGGGUUUUAUUUAAAUACUAUCACCGGUUCAAAUAAAAUUAUACUCGAACUAUAAAAUAAAUAAUCUUUAAUUUACAUUUAAUAUGUUUAAAUCUUCUCCAUGGACAAAUUUUUUUUGGUUUUUAUCACUUGAAAUGAGAGCUUAGCAUUUGACACAUUUUUCAUAAAAUGUUAAAUAAUUGCUUUGGCUUCACCUAAUAGCUAUCCUCCGCCUCUCCCAACUCUUGGUUGUUUUAAAAUGGCGUUCGUGUGCGUAUAUCCAUCGCUAAAGUUUGUUAAAAAAAGAGAACAAAAAUGGGAGAAAGCGAUUUAGAUGUCUGAAUUGAAACAUCCAAUGAAAAAGGAAGCAAUCAAAGGCAAAUUGUAAUGCACCAAAUACCAAAACGACACAUCCAUGUUCAACGUGGGACAUCUCCCCCACAUGACUUGCUCCAUGUUCUGUUCCUCACAAAACAGAAGAAGAAGAUGAUGAUAUUAUAUAGCUAGGGUUCUUUCUCUUUCUCUCAAUUUGCCUGGAAUCCAACAGUACCAUAUAGUACAUGCAAGGAGUAUAAAUAAUGAGAAACACUUGUACUUUAAGGUUUUAUGUAAGUGAUAUAAAAAUGUGUAAAUCAUUCUGAUUUUCAGUACAGCAUAUAUACCCUAUAAGGAGAAAUGAAUGGAAAGUACGCUGUUCAAAUCCCAUGCAGGAAAAGAUGGCUCGAGUCUAGCUCCCCAAACAGCCGACUGACUCAGUAACUCCCUGAAUUUGAAUAAUAAUAUCCAUGAAUGAAGGACUUAGUCCCUACGUGUCAAACAUACAAGAACCAAGAGAAAAGACAAGGGAUAAUUUAUUUCUGGCCACCGUGGAAAAAUACUGUAAAUCAACAAAUGGCUUAGCUCUUGUCUUGUAAGUAGGAUUCUAUGCUGUGCCUGUCAAAUAAUUAAAACACCCCGGCCCAAAAAAAAAAAAACUGUUUAAGUUUUCUUUUUUUGAAGAGAUAAACAACUGGUUAUGAAAUGUACAGCAUCUCAUAAACAAAUAUGAAAACCCUAAUAAUAUAAUUAAAGAAUGAGGUGAAUACCGCCCACAAUACAUCUCAUGAUUUCAAAUUGACAUUAAAUCAUAAAUAAAAGAAUAAACAUAUUUUACACAAUGCACACCCAUUAAGUUGUAUUUAUAAUACUCAUGGGAUCGAAUGAGAAAGAGAUCAAGAUUGUGUACUGUCUAAGUUCAAGUUUUCUAGACAAAAAAAAAUAACAUCGAAAAUUUUUUAUAUCAAAACAAGACCUGAUUCAACUCAACCCUGAAAUUAGUGGAAGCGGUUGUGACAGGCGAACACUAGGGAUCACAGACCACAAAAUCUAUUACUAUAAAGAACAAAAAUAAGAUGGAGUUUUAAAGAUAGGUAGGUAGAGGAUUUUAAACAGUUGGUUUCAGAAUCUUUUACUGUCAAAAUAAUUAACAACAAAGGGAUACACUCAUUCAAGUCUUUGAUCCACCUGCACAACUCAAAAGUGGUCAAAAAGGGAUCUAUUCUUCACAAUUUGGGGUUCAGAUAUUAUUCGAUCCAUUGAGAUUCAGAUCAUGGCAUGUGAUAAGGUUCUAUGUAUUUGUAUAUAAUAUUGCUGUCUUUGGAAUUGAGAUCAUGGUUUCCAAACACACUCACCGGUUUCUCAACUUUUUAUACCCUCUUUAUUCACAGAUGUUCAAAUGAACGAUUGUUUAACAUUUAGUUAAUGAUUAAAAAUAUUUCUAAAAUCGCAAUGUUUAUUUUUUUUUAAAUAUAGAUAUCAAUCAUAAAGAUAAUAUGUGUUGUUACAAAUGAGCUGACCAUUUAUUCAAAUUUGCUCAAUAAUUUUUAUCGGAAUCUCCUUGAAUAUUUUGGGACCAUAAGAGAGAUUUCUCAUUAUUCUAGCUAAAGUAUGUGCUGUAAUAUUGGCUUCUCUGGAAACUUUUUGUACGACCGCCCGCCAAUCUCUUGAAAUGAUCUAUUCAAUUGUUCACGAACCUUAUCCAAAAUUGUCUCAUUAGCUUGAGCACAAGACGUUUCAACAAUAACAUUAUCUCAUUUAGCAUCCCAAUCCAAAGUGAGGCCAUUAUAAAUCGCCCAAAGUUCAGCUGCUCAACAUUUCAUGCCCGAAUGUUUCUCCCAACUCCCUCAACCCAUCUAUCAACAUCAUCUCUUGUCACUAUUGCAACCAAAGCUAACCUUGGAUCUCGCCCCGUGUGUUUAACUUAAUGCACCUCAGAGGUGAAGAUUUUCAUUCUCGAUAUUAUCUCUCUUGUGAUAUUACUAAAAUACAUAAUUAUGUUUAAUAAAUUAUUCGAAUUUUCUAUCCAAACACAAUUAUUGUACUUUAAUAAGUUGAAAAACCAACAAUAGAACUUAAUGAUUGUAACAAGUUGAUAAAAGGUAGUUGUAGGGAAUUUUGCAAUAAUAUUAUUGCUUUUAAAAAAGUUCCGAUGAAACAUUAUAAGUUUGACUAUAGAAUUCAGUACUUUGGACCUACAAUUAAACAUAAACAUUAUCAUAUUACACUGAUUGGAAAAUCCAACUCAUCAUUGCUUUUCUGUUUAUCAAAGUCUGAAAAUAUCAAAUUUAAAAGAUAUUAUUUUAUUCAGAGUUGAUAACUGGAAAUAUAAAUAAAAGUCCAUAAAAAUUAAGCUAAAUAAAUAAAAUUAUAUAUAAUAAUUUUAAAAAAAAUUUGUUAUAUACUUUUUUUACAUACAUAAAUAAAAGAGAAAUUACUUUAUUCUUAAUUUACAACAAAUUAAUUAUAUACAUAUAACUCAAAUUCAUAUCUUGGUUAGAUAAGAUAGCUCAAAUAAAUUUGGAGUUUAAUUCCAGAAAAUUUGCCUAAAUUCAUAGAUUAAAACACAAAGAAAAUAGAAAUUCUUACUCAUAUCAAACAUCCUAUUCAAUCAAUAACAAGAACCUCAAAUUCCAAAAUGUUUAAUAUCUAAAAAAAAUCAUAUUUUUGUUCAUUCUGUAGUUAAUCUUUAAAAAAUAUAUCUAGUUAUUAUUAUACAAAUGAUUUAAGAAUAAAAAUAACUAAUAGAAACAAUCACCCUCGAUACAAAGGAGAGCGUUCUUGGAAAACCAAUCCCCUUGUUUGCCUGAAGACCUUCAUCGGACUCGGGAAAUACCAGCUCUUUGCUUUCGUAGACGGCGAUAAUUUCGAUAUUCCGAUACCGGAAUGUGACGUCGCCAAAACAGACCUCGACUUCCUCAUCAUUCUCAUCCGUUCUUCCUCUGCUAUUCUCGCUUUCUCUUCUUCUCUUCGACGAUCUUCACUCUCGUAUCGCUUGCUCUUUUUGCUGGCUUUAAACAUCGACCAAAAUGACGGCGUCUUGCACUUACCACUCGCCGACUCGUUCUUUUCGCUUAAACGCUCAGGUUUCGAUAAGAGGAAACGAACCGCUAGGGACCUCGAUCGUCGGAACGUAGGUUCUCUUCCGGUAAGAUUAGAACCGCGUCCGAAACUUCCGAUACCGGAGGUAUCCUCGGCAGCAGGAGUCAAGAAACGAUAGAAAGAAGAAGAGGAGGAAGAAGAGGAAGAGGUGGCACUACACGCGCAAGGACGGUAGUGGGCGCAGUCGGGACAGAGAGAAGCGAGCUUGUCUCGGAGGCAAAACGGACAGACUCCACUACGGCGACGUUUCGAUGGAUGCUUUGGACAUUUCCAGACCUCUUCUUCGUCCACGUAAAACGCCAUUUUUUUUUCAGUUAAAGGACUGAAGGUAUCACCCGUAGUUUUCUUUGUGGUUUUCUGUGAGGGUGAGCUUUUUAAAAAGGUGGAGGUGUAUUUGAGGCGGAUGAAUUAACUAUGGUUACGUUCAUGGCGGUUAAAAUUUUAACCGUGGUACUUGGGAGGGGAACUGAACGGUGCAUUUUGGUACUACAAUUUGAAGUCUAAUUAUUUCUGUUGAUAUUGUCAUUCAUAUGAUAUCUGAAUCACUGUUAAGCAGGGUUAAACUUUGUAAAUUACGGUGUAUCGAGUCUUAAUUUAAUUAGUAUGAAUAUUAUUGUCGAUGUAAAAAGAUGUAGAUUCGAGUGCGUUAAAGCGCAUUAUCUUCUUAUUUAUGGGUUAAAGAAGGGUUAUGGUUCUAGACAUUAAUUAAAAAAAUCAUAUAUAAUCAGAACUUAUAAUGAGAUUAUUAAAAAAAAAACUUUGUAAUUAGUAUAAUUUCAAUAAUUUUUAAUUUGUUUUAAAUAAAAAUUUUGUAAUUUUGAUCUUUUUAAAAGUUAAGUUCUUAAUUUGGAUCCUCUAAUUUUUUAAAUUUUAUUUUGACCCCGUAUUACAUUAUCAAAUUAAAUCUAGUCGAUAUUCAUACAUAAUUUACAUAAAAUGAACCCGACCUUAAAUGUUAUUAGAUAUCAAGGGAAUAACUAGGGAUUAGUAGGAUCCCGGCCUUCUUAAAAUAAAAAUUUUUAAUUUAAAACUUUUAAAAUUUUUAUAAUUUUGCGGGUGGUAAGUGUAAGUGGAGUUUGUCGUAGGUGGGGUGUAGAGGAAAAACAUGUGAUUGGGCGACACGCAGAAGAAACUAGAAAACAUGUGUACUUUGUUUGGAUUAGGGUUACAAGUAACUAAAAAAAGUGAUUUAAUGAGUGUUGAGACGCGUUUCACGUAUGUGGAAUGGAGUGGGACUGAACGUGGCUGGCCAUCUAAUCUAAAGUUCUUGGCCCCACUCAAUGGGGUGUUGAGUUUGAUUAUCCUUUUCAUCUAAUCUGUUGACUAAACAGCAAUCAAUUUCCUUACAGACCCCUUCUUCAUCAUUUCAAUGUUUCACCCACCUUUCUUAUGGUCUUUUUUAAUUUUAAAAAAGUUUCAUACGUCUAAUUAAAGUGUUCAUAGGCUCUUUGGUAUCGAAAUAUCAGGAUUGCCUAUAAGUGGAGAACUGACCUCUUUAGACUAGGCAACAGUAGCUCGAGACAAUAUACCUUUUUAAAAAAAUUAAAUUUAACAAAAUAUUAAUUAAAACGUUAAAUUUUUAAACAUAAUAGUUCUUGUAGUAUACGAGUUGUCACGUUAACAUCGUUAAACAACAAUAUUUUAAUUAGCAUUUAUGUUAAGAAAAAAUAAAUCUAACUCUUUUUAAAAAAUUAAUAAUUAAAAAUAUAGAUGCUAAAAGCUAAAUUUAGCACCAUGCUUAAAAAAACCAUCAACAUUUGUAUUUCAUAAAAAGUGAUAAAAACAACUUUUAACUCCUGAAUUUAGUCGUUCUUUCAUAUUGGUUUUUAUUUUUAUUUUUUAAGUUGGUACCAUGAAAUCGAGUUACAAAUUCUUAUAGACAUAUUUUAGUCUAUCCUGUUAAAAAUUUCAUCUAUUUCUAUUAUUAAAAACUAGUAUAGUUAACAAAAUAACCAUACAAUUAUAUAUUGACAUACCAUGUGUAUCUCGUGCUAACGUGUAGAGACCAAGUUUUAUUUAACAAUAGAAAUGGAAGCAAAUUUUAAUAAAAUGAUUAGUUUACUCUUUCAUCCAACGUAUAUGAACUAAUUUACUAUUUUUUAAAUAAAAAUAAUCAAUCGUAAUGACUUAAAAAGAGAUUGAAGCAUAGGAAAAUAGCACUUAUAGAAGCUUCUUGUUGGGUCAUCUUUCACUCAAGUAAUAGUAUCUUUAAAUGAUAGUUUCCCAACAGUUGAUGCUUUUAAACACCCAAUCAUGGAAAGGUAAAUGUUUUUAACAUUUACGCAUUAAAUACAUAAAGCAAAAAUACAAAUCACUGACUGUGUUUUCUUCUUUGUUUACAUCGAGAUAUAAUUUGCAUGAUCUCUUAGCUCUUGAUAACAUAUGAUUUCAUCAUUCAUAAUUCAAUGCUACUUUUUUAUAUUAAAGAGAAAAAAAAAAAAAAGAAAAAGAGCUAAACAAUCCAAUACAACUUUCGUUUCCCAAUUUAAGUAUUUCUCUACUUUUCACAUUGGAUUUUGUUUUUAUUUAAUUUAUAAUUAUUUUUAUAUAAAAAUAAAUAUGCUACAUAUAAAAUUUGAAAAUAACCUUAAAAAAGCAUAUAAAAACUUUAAUUCGAAAAAAUCACUAACCGCAUUAAUCCAAAUCAAAUUCAAUUUGAUUUUUUAAAAACAAAAUAUUAUAAAUUAAUUACUCUUUUGUUAAAAAAAACACCAUUUUUUAGUUGUGUAAUAAAAGAGUAAGUGAAUCCCUCUUUUAUAUUUAAAUAUUCAAGAUAUCUAUAAACCUAAAAUUUAUAAAAUUUACAAAAAAAAAUUAAUUUAAAUCGUUUAUAGAUCAUUGGAGUGUUUGGUAAACAGAGUUUUAAACUUUUUUUUAUUUGAUUUGGGCACAAAUGGAGGAUUGAGUAAUCAAGUUCUCUAAUUGUAGUGUUUGGUGAAUGGAGGUUUGUAAUAGCUUGUUGAGCUAAAACCUCCAAAACAAAAAACGUUGGGAUGGGCAAUUUUUUCACAGCUGAUCUGACCAUACUUGUUCAAAAUUUACUCAAUUUGCCACAUGUAUCUAUUUCUUGAAUAUUUAUGUAUUUUUAAUUUAUUUUCAACUUACUUGUGUAAAAUGAUUUUUUAUGCAACUUUAUAUUAAUUGAAAUAUGUUAAUUGACAAAUUUAUUAAAAGUGUGACAUAAUUAUCACUAAUUUACAUACUAAGAACAUGACAUAAUUAUCAUUAAGAGUAUAGUUUACAAUUAUAUUGAUACACUAUUAAUACUUAUCAAUUUUCACAAGGUUAAUAUUUGCAAAUAUGGAACAUAAGAAAUUUGUUUAUUUAAAUUUUCAAAAAUAUUCAUUACUUAAUUUCCAUAAUGAAUAUUUUAAUUCCUUAGUAAUAGUGUUUCAUUUCAAUAAUCUCACACAAUAAACACUAAAGUAUUAUAAACAAAAUAAAUAAUUAACAAUAAAACAUGUCAUGCUAUUAUUUUCCAUUUUACACAUAUCAAUUUUCAGCUAUCAGUUAAGUUUUACCAAGCAGUCUUAAAUAAAUAGUUAAUAGAAUUAAUUGAUUAAACUAACUGCUAUAAUAAACAAUUAGCUAUCAACCAUCAGUCAAUUGUCAAACAAAACUAUUGUCAACUCAUACAUCACGGACAAAGCGACCCUAUUAUUAGAAUCUACAACAUAAUUUUUUUUAUAUAAAAAUUGUGCACCAUAUUUGAGUACAUUUGAUGAUCCACCAACUUAAUAAAUAAUUUCAAUAAAUCAACAAUUAAAUAAAAAUAUGGAAAAAUAAUUGAUUUGAAGGGAGAGAGAAAUUUUUAGUAAAAAUAAAUAUAUUUUUAUAUCCAUUUUACCGUAAAUAAAAAAUCAAUUCAAACUUAUUAAAUAAGCUCUCAAAAAUAUCAAAAGUAACAAUUUGGUAUACCUUCAACGUGCAACUUGCGGCUACCUGUAAAAAGCAUAUGGCUGGAACCACCAAGUCCUCUCAAGUCACCUCAUCUUUUCUCCUAACGUCAUUCGACUGAACCACCUUUGACGAUAGUUCAAGUUCACCCACCGCUAGCAGCAACCCAACUUGUUUUAUUGUCUCGUGAGAGAGGAUUGUGUGAAAUAGUGAUGUCAUGUUAUUUGUAUUUUUUAAUAUUUAAUAUUAUAUUAGUAUUUUAAAAAAUUAAAUUUAAAUAAAAAUAUUAAAAUUCAAGAUAAAAUUACUGAUGUGACAUUAAACUAUUGAAAAAAAGAUAAUAUCACUGUUUCAUGCAAUCUUUUCUCUUAUCUCCAUUACUCACAUUUGAAUCCUAAGGGGUCCUUCAAACAUUUGACCCAAUACCUUCCACGAUUUGAGUAUGAAUGACAAUGUUGGACCUUGCAUAUUACUACUCACUUAAUAUACUGACCCAGAAAAUAGGAGUUUAAGUAGGGACGAAAAUUUAUUUUAAGAGUCAAAAAUAAAUCAUAAAAUUUUAAAAACUUAAAAAGUAAAAAAUUACCAUUAUAAUAAUUAAUGAUUUUUUAAAAAUUUAAAGGUCCUUCCCCCUGGGUUUAAGUCCAAAAACAAAUAAUUGUACAAGUACAAUAAUAUUUGACAUAAGUCAAGAAAUAGGACCUAUAAAAAGACGGGGCUAAGGAGACAUGCAGGGGACAGCUUAGUCCCAUGCACUUUCAUGCAGAAGGUGAUCUCGUGACAUGCUUUCUAAUGAAGGCACCAUAAUAAAUAUUAUGGGCUAAGUCUCUUCAUGGGCCUUUACAUAAGAAAAUAAGUGAGCUCAUUUGUCACAAAGGCUCCUUUCUGAUAUCUAAACCCUUUUUUAUUUUUGUUCUUGAUUUCUUGCAGUCAUUUUAUGAGAAUAUAUCUUCGAAGGCACAUUGUUUCCAAUAAUAAUUCCUAGCUUAUUUUCUGUAUGCUAGUACAUAAAUAAACAAACCCGUUUUCAUAAUUAACCCUAAAUCCAUUCAAGGCUAAUUAGCAACUUCUAUGAAAUUAAUGGGAAUAAGAUAAAAGAGAAAUUAGGCAAAAUUUAUUCAUGGUAGCAGUGAAGUAUACAUAAAAUAACACGAGCUAUCACGUCAGUGUCAUUAAAAUUUUAACAGUUUGAAUAUAAGUAUUUUGAUGCCGAGAGUUAAAAUUACCUCCAAAAAAGAUUAAGAGCCAAAAUGAUAAAAAUGAAUCAACGUGAGGGACUAAAAUUAUUUUUAUGCCAAAAUCAAAUAUAAUGGUGGAUGAAUUUAAAACUAAUCAAAAGUGAAUAAUUAUUAGGGACUCUUAUCAAUAAUGCAAGUAAGAGCAUUGACCUAAUAAAAAGAGUGAAAUAUUAAUUUAAUCCCUCCAAAAUCCAAAAGUUAUAAAAUUGUAAGCUAAUAUAAUAAUAAAAUAAUAUUUAUUUUAUAGUGGGAAACGGGAAAUUGCUAGGAAAUUUGGCCUCCCAUAGAGAAGCAAAUACGCCAAGGCGACCCAACUGCUGGCUACUUUCUUGACUUCCCUUUUCUAAGGUCUUUAUAAACAAACAAGACUCCUCAAAACAUAAUUUCUACUCCAAUUUCAUAUAUAAAAAACAAAUUGGUAAAUUACACCCAGGGUCAUUAAACUAUUAGUAAAUUUAUGUUUUGAUUACUUAACUUUAAAAAGUUAAAAAAUAGUCAUUAAACUAUUCAAAAGUUUUCAUUGAAGUCACUGAACUAUUGAAAAGUUUUUAUUUAAAUCAAUGGGCUGUUAAGUUUUUCUUUUUAAGUCUAACUAGCGAGCUCCAAGUAACAAUUCGACGACUAGUACAGUAGAUCCAAGUCGAUUAAAUGGUCGGUGUUGGAGAUCGAAGAAGAAAGUUGUUUGGAUUUUGGUUUGCAGAUUCGUGGUUUAUAAAGUUGUUUCAUGAGAAAAAAAUGUAAAAAAGAAGGGAAUGAGAACUUUUGAUUGGUAUAGGUUGUGCUAACAGAGAAGACCAUGCAACAUCGAUUUUAACAACUCAAUGGCUUAUAUGAAAACUUUUGAAUUGUGUAGUAACCAUUUUGUAACUGUUUGAAGUUAAGUAACUAAAACACAAAGUCACUAAUAAUUUAGUGAUCUUGGUAUAAUUUACCCAAAACAAAUAAAGUAAUCUUACCUUAUUCCAAAAGAAAGAAAACGUAACCUUCCACGCUUCUCUUAUCAAAGGUCAAUCAAAUUCGACGAUAAACUUUCAAUUUAUUUUCAAUUUUGACCAUUAAAUUUUGACAAUUUUGUGCCCCGGGCGAUUAAUAGUGCGGCUCACGUUCUGGUGCUGGAAGGUCAGAGAAGAAGGGUGUGUGGGAACUGGGUUGCUAGUAUAUCGGAUUCUGCGAGGUUGGUGGUGGAGAAUGACUGGUUGAUUUGGAAUUAGAGGAUCUGAGUUCCAUGCUUGUUCGCUUUGAGGUUGGAGAAGGUUCCUUGAAUCUCCAUUUCUGGUUGCAAAGCGCUGUUUGCUCUUGGUUGCAUGUUAUUGUGGCAGAUGUUGAGGAGAGCUCGUUUGGCUGAUAUUGGAUGUUGAAUCGGUGCUGCUGCAGGCUCAUGAGGUUUAUUUUGCUUUAUUUUUUUAUCGUUACUUUCUAGGAUUCAUUUAUUUUCUAUGCUGGACAGCUGUUAUUUGUUUGCUUUUGCCGGUUAAUUUGCUGCUUUGGUGCCUUUCAGUUACUCUUUUGUUCCUGUUUUAAUAAUAUCAGCUUAUUUUGACAAAAAAAAAACCUUAUCAACAAAUCAUAUAACAGUAAUUAAUAUUUCAAUUUGAAGGAAUCAAUUUUGAUUUUUAAUGUUAACUCAAUCGAUAUCAAUAUUGUACAAAAACGUAAAUUUAAACACACUGAAACACAUUGAUCUAAAAUUUAUAUUAAAAAAUCAUUAUUAAAAAACCCUAAAAUCACAUGAAAUCAUGUAAAGUUGUCAUACAAAAUAAACAUGAACCAAAGUUCUAGAAAAGAUAUCCACAAUUUUCAACUAUAAAAAAAAAAGUUUUUCUCUAAACCACUAAUAGUUGAACAUAUUAAUGAUAAUUGCACUUCAAGUCUUCCACAUUUAUAGAUUCUCUUCUUCUUCCUUUUUUCUAGAAUUAAUCUUCAUCUUCAUGAUUUCAUGUAAUGUCCCCUUCCAUUAUAAAACUAUUCUAAUGGUGAAGCUUACACUCAUCAAUUUAUAAGAGAAUAAAAAGUAAUUAAAGUUUGGAAAAAAAACACCUCUCCAAUCCUUUCUAAUUUUAAUAUCGAACUAAUUGAUCCCUUUCAAAAAAAUUGAAGCAAUUUAAUCCCUAUUAAUCUUGAAACUGAACAACUAAAGAAAAUUAAUAUUUUCCAUCAGUUUACGUCAUUUUGAUUGAUAUAAUAAUAAAUUAAACUAUCAACAUUUAUAUAUUUUAUCAAUUUGAUUUUGAUUUUAAAAAAAAUAUAAAAAUAGCAUAAAUUUUUAAAAUUUAAUAAAAAAAUAUUAACAUUAUAAUUAAUUAUCUUUAAAUACUUACUUUUGAAAUUAUUAGAGAUUAAAUUGGUUCGAUAUGAAAAUUGAGAGUAGUUUUUAAAGGUUUUUUUUUUCUUCACCAAUGCUCAAAGAUUAAUCUAAACAAAUAAAGGCAAAGUAAAUAACAAAGAAAAUUUCGAUACAAUUUCAAUGGUUCCCUUAUUUCGGGCAAUUUUCAUUCAAGCAAAAAAGACAAGGUCAACUCUUUCCAGUCAAAGUCAAAUUCCACACGUUAUGACGUGGCGUAGUUUCGUUGGCUAGAGCAAUUUGCGUGUAAUAAUGCUUUGUUGUUAUUAUUUGGGUGUCGCAAUUUUAAAUGUAGAAAUAUGAAGACAUGUAGGUUCGAUGAAUAAAAAAAUAAUAUAAAAAGAGGAUGGUGGGGUCUCACAUUAUUACAUAACCUUUGCUUUGCAAUAACCGAAGUGGGUCCCUUUCUUCCAUACAGCCUUAGGGGACUGUCGCCAAAAGGCCCAUUAUUUUACGCUAUUUUUUAUUUUUUAUUUACGGCAUAAUAAAUUUAGCCAUUAAUAUUUCACUUAUUUUAACAUUUUGUUUUUAAUUCUUAAUCACUUUGAUAUUUAAUCUUCAAAUUUUAACCAAGUUGUUUUUUAACAAAAAAGAUUUGUUAAACUAUUAAAGUUUUAAUGGUAUGGGUGUGGUAACUCACUGAAGUAGAUAAUUUUUUAAACAAAAAAUUAUAAACUUUUUAAAAUUUUCUACUUUUUUUUAAAUAUUCUUUUUAAAAAAUUUUAUAAAGUACAUAUAGAUUAUCGCAUGAGUUUUCAUGAUAGUAAUAUUAAAAUUUUAAUGGUCUAGUAAUUUUUUUUCAUCUAAAAAAAUCGAUUUGACUAAAUAUUAGAGGUUUAGGGCUAAGUGAAAAACAAUUAGGACUACAAUGACAUAAGAGAUAAAUAUUAGGGAUUAAAUUUACAAUUAUUCAUAUAUUCAUUUAUAUUUGUUAAACGAGUCAAACAACCCAAAACACGAUCUAAAAGGUAAAAAAAAAAACCAUUGCGUCAAGCAUUAUUCCUUUAUUUCUUUUUAGUCGUGAAUGGUGUGCCGUGUCCGUGGGUUCAAUCUCAAACCUUGGUACUUUUUGACUUUUAUAGUUCAAUCUUACACUUAAUAAUAUGGGAUACCGUAUAAUUUAAUUUAAUCACAUGAUAUAGAUAAAAUAUAUACAGCUAAUCUUAUUUGGAAGAGAUAAAUCGCAUAAUUCAAGGCGGUUAUAUUUAUCAGGCCUAUGUUGAUUUCUUGAUAGAUAUCAAUCUCUUACAUGUAUAACAUGCAGAUAAAAAUUAAGUUACAUUGGCCCCAUUUGAGGGUCCUUCAUCAAAACAACGAACAUCCAAAUUAUAUUCAAAGAGAUACAUUACAGGCCUAUUAUGACUUAGUUGAUUAUUUUUCUUAGUAGCAAGACUCGUGUCAAAACAUAUGAACCUUCCUUGUCGUAUGGCUAAAACACCCUUUUCAUACUCAAACUCUACCUUAUUACUUGGAGAAUCUUCAUACUCCUCUUUUAACCAUUAGAACUCCUCUAUUCGGCUCUUAGCUCCAUUAUGCAAACACCAAAUUAAAUCGAUUCUUCUUUUUUAUCCUUUUGUGUAUCAAUAAUUUAUAUGGAAAUCGGUUUACCCAACUUAGAUGCAUUAACUAAAAAGGAAAAGAACAAGGAAACAUUAAAAAAAAACCAAGCUAAAUUGAUUCUUUUUUCUUAUCCUUUUUCAUCUUGUUACACAAACCCUAAGCAUAUGAAGAGAGAGGUAUAGUUAUCUUAUAGGAUUCAUUCAUUGACACUAUCACUCUCUUAUUUUCCCUUAAGCUCCCAACUUUGCCUUAAUAACUUUUAUUGAUUUAAGCAUCAAAGUUCAUAGUUUACAUCGUGUUCACAAGUUCUAUUAACCUCAAUCUUGCUAUGUUUAGAAAAGAAGUAAAUAAAGUAAAUAAUUUUUUAUUAUUUAAAAUGUCAAACGAACAAAAUAUAUUGGUACAAAUUAAGUUUUUUCUUAAUCAAAUCUAUCCUUUUUUUUUAUACCAUGCUUAUUUAAUUAGAUAUAUCUUUUAAUAUGAAAAGUAAGAUAUAUUAUCGUUAUUAUUAUCAUUUUGGUAUGUAUUUCCAAAUACCAUUUGUAGUGUUGAAGCACUCUUAUGGACAAUCAAGAGCGGAAUAAGGGAUAAGUAGGGAUCAUGGCCUCUUUAAUUAGAUAAUAUAAUUGUCCUUUUAAUUAAUUCUUAAAAUUAACUAAUCAAUUUAAUUUUUUUCUCCUAAAUCAAAUGAAAUUUUACAUUUUUGACCCCUUUUAAAAAUUACUAAUUCAACUUAAGUUAUCUUUAACACACCAUUUUUUUUUUUUGCUUUUGCCUCACAAUUCAAUCAUCAAAACAAAAUUCUUACCUUUAUACACAUAGACAACCACACGAUCUCACAAAUUUAGAAAAAUUGACGAAUUUUGGAAACUUUCUUUGGAAAAUAAAAUAAAAUUCUCAUCUUCUUUCCCAAUUUUAGGAUUACACAUAAAUCUAAUGAAAGAUCUUUGAUGAGCAUCCCAAUUUAAUCCAAAAGAUCUUCUUCUAAGCUUUUGGUGAUUUUGCACUCUCAUGCUUAACAUCAUUUUUCAAGCAAGUUAUUUAGAUAAAUUAUUUGGGAGAAUAGUUAUUCGAUAUUUUGUUUUUUGGGCUACAAAUCAAAAUUUUAUAUUAUAUGUGUGUCUAUUUAUAUAUAAUAAAAUAUAACUAAAGAAAAUGCAGAUUUUCUUCCUAGAAAAGUAAGUGGGGUUGUUAAUCGAAUAUUAGCUAAAUUGGUAUAGACAUUGCUGUCAAUACAAAGACGCGGAUUCGAAUAUGUUAAAGCGCAUUAUCCUUUUAUUUAUGAAUCAAAGAGAGGUUAUGGGUAAUUCUUAGUAUUGUAUCAAACAGAAUGAAUAUGAUUAAAACCUAUAAUAAAAUUAUUAAAAAAAGAAUUAAAUAAAAUUUUCUAAAUAAAAUAGAAUUUACUUUUUGGUGAUAUUUUAGGAUGAGCCCCGACUUUAUUAAAUGUAUAAAUUUUAAAUAAAAACCUAACUCAUUAUUUAUGGCCAACCUAAUUGAAUAUCAACCUGUCUCAUCUACAUUCAACAUAGCCUAGCCCUUUAUCCCAUAAUAUAUAUUCUCUAUCCAACUUGUCUUCACUUGCCAUUUUCUUAUACAACUCUUCCCCUUUUAUUUUGUAAAUAAAAAUAAAAAUUGUGCAAGUAUUGAUUAUAUAAUUAUUGAAAGUGUUGAACAUUCUUCACUAAGCCGAGCUUUGUCAAGAUACGCCUCGUUAAAGGACAUUGCUACGUUAAGUCAAGCUCACAGAUUUCAUACCAUAAAUUUACUUUCAUUUAUUAUUCACAUAUUUUUGUAAUUAUACCUCACCAAAUUACAUCGUGGACAUAACAAUAAGAGGGAUGGAAUUAGAUUUUUUAGGUCAAUUAAAUUAUAAAUUUUAUGAAAGUUAAAAUGUAAUUUUAUUAUUUUUAAAUGUCAAAAUACAAAUUUUCCAUAUCAGGUUUAAAGGACUUAAAGAAGAAAUCUCCCAUUAUAAUAGGUUAUGCCUCUAUCUGCCCCUAACGUCGGCGAUAGCCCAUCAAUUGAAAGAUGACCUGUAAUUUACAAAACACAAAUAAAAAUAAAUAACCGAUUACGCUUUCUAGAAAUUAUGUGCAUUUUACUGUUAUAUUAAUUUUUUAAAACAAUUUUUUUUAUCUUAUCACCUCAGUGAAUUGCUUAAUUUUUUUAAAAAUAUUUUUAUUUAUAAUAAAAGAAAAUACCAAGUAAGACAAGCUAAAUUAGUAAAAAAUGAGCCGAAUGGUAGAAACAAAGAACAUGGACAUCAUAUAUAUAGAUGGUUAAAUCCAUCAGAAGAAAACAAAAAAAUAAGUACGAUAUCAAAAGCACUACUUUGAAUCAAUCAAGGCAUUAAAAUAAUCUUUCGUAAAAAAUAUAAAAAAAAAAGUGCAAUUUUUACCUCAAGGUUCACGUUAAAAUUUGUAAAUUUUUUUAAAUUUAUUUAUUUAAAUUCUUGAAUGCGGGAAAAUAUAAAAAUUUGAUUAUGGGAUUCUGAGAUCAUGCUACUGUCAUUUAAUCUUCUUCUUUUUCAAGUGGUGAUAUGAAAUGAUUUUAGAGUGUCAAUGUUACAUCAUCAAUUUUUUACAUUUUUCUAAAUAGAAGGAAUAAAAUGAAUCUAAUUGUCAAAUUUAAGUACCAAAAUGAAAAAAUAUAUAUUAACACACAAAUAAUUACAGAAAAAUAAAAGUAAAAUAAUAUGAUGAGGGCAAGUUUGAAAAUGAAAUUCCCUUUAAAAAUUAAAGGAGGCAGGUUCCAUGCACCCAACACAUCCAGGUUUUAGCUUCGGACUUAGGUUCGGUGUGGACUUCUUUUGAUUUAGAUAAGAACGACAUAUCUCCCCUUCUCAGUUUUUACAUUUUAGUUCUCUCCCGAAAUCUCUCACUCAAAACCAAAAAACAAAAACAGAGCAUCCACUCUUUUUUUCUUGAGUUUCCUUUGUAAAUUAGUUCAAGCUGGCGAUUGAAAAUAAAGAAACCACUGUUCGUGAAAUCAAGCCCAAGAACAGAAGAAUAAUGGUAUUUUUUUUUAACAUUCUCUAUUAAGCUUUUACUCAUUUUUUCCCCUCAUUGUUAUGUGUGAUUAAUUGGAAUGGUAUUGUUUGUUUAGGGAGCUGGUGGGCCUGAUGAAGAAGAUAAUAGGUGGCCGCCAUGGUUGAAACCUUUACUGAAAGAACAGUUCUUUGUUCAGUGUAAACAUCAUGUUGAUUUUCACAAGAGUGAAUGCAAUAUGUUCUGCUUAGAUUGCGUUAAUGGCGCUCUCUGUUCUUUCUGCUUAGCGUAUCACAAGGAUCAUCGUUAUAUCCAGGUUCAGUAAUUUUCCCUUUAAAUUGCUUUCAUGGUUCAAGUUGUGCCAAAUACUAUUUACCCUUCUUUUCAUUUGAGUUUGUACUUUUUACAAGCAUCUUUAUUAAUUUUCUCAGCAUCCAAACAGGCAUUGGCUAAAAUUUCUCGGCACUUUCUCUGUUUUGUUAACAGAUAAGGAGGUCUUCAUACCACGAUGUGAUAAGAGUAUCUGAGAUACAAAAAUACCUAGACAUAUCUGGAGUCCAAACUUAUAUAAUCAACAGUGCUAAGAUCGUUUUUCUUAAUGAAAGGCCACAACCCAGGCCUGGAAAAGGUGUUACCAACACUUGUGAGGUCUGUGAUCGCAGCCUUGUCGAUUCCUUCCGUUUCUGCUCUCUUGGCUGCAAGGUAUAUAUAUAUAUAUUUUCCCUCCUCUGUUUGGUAGGUGAGAAAAUGGUAGGAUAAGGGAAAUAAGUGUUGGUUGUGUAUGCAGAUUGUUGGAACAUCAAAGAAUUUCCACAAGAAGAAAAGGCAGCUAGGUAUGAACAUGGCAGCAUUAGACUCUGAGGAUUCAUACAGUAGCAGUUGCCAUGAGAAGAUUAACAACAAAGUGCAGAGCUUUAGACCAUCAACACCACCUCCAACUCGAACUGCCAAACGAAGAAAAGGGAUUCCCCACAGAGCACCGAUGGGAGGAUUAAUCAUAGAAUAUUAAGCCAAAGAAAUGCCGUAAAAGAUAGUGGUUUAUAUCCUUUUAUAUUUACCCUGCUAGUGUUAGUAUCAGUGUUACGCCAUACAUACCUCUCUCUACUAUUAUGUAUAUUAUAUAGAAGUGGAAAUACUAAUAAUGAUAAUGAGCCAGCUUUUCUAAGUGAGUGACUAUAGACAUAAGUUUUUGGAAAAUGCUAAAUUGUAAAUAGGGUCUUUCUGGUUUUAGGGCAAGAAGACUAAGAGCAAUGUGAAAGACAGGGAAAAUACCAUGUAUUGUACUCCUUUCCCAAGGGGAUGUUUAUAUCUUUUGCCUAGAUAUGAAUUUUGAGUUCUAAUCUAAAGAAGCCGUAUUUUGUCUGCUUAUUUAUUGAAGAUUUUUAAUUUUGUUUAUCCAUUUUCUAAGUCAAACGCCAUUGAUUGAACUCAAAAUUUUGUAAACCAACUUAAAAUUACAUAAUUUUGUAUCAAAUUCUCAAUAUGGAUAAAAUAUGUGUCACAUGUUAUAUAAAUUUGUUACUUAGUAUAACGAUUUAUAUAUUAUUAAUGAAUUGAUCAAAGUUUGAAAGAGUUUAAAAUCAAAACACGAAUGACAUGUGAUUGUCGAUAAUGAUUAAAAUGGCACUUUUGUAAGCCUAUAGACAUCAGGGCAAGAGGGAGCGGACUCUCUUGUAAUCUUUUCAGGCAACUUACAUUACGGUUAUCCUAAAACUUAUACGACUUUUAGCUCACAAACUACAUGAGGAGAUGGUAUUAUUAAAUUUAUUUAAGGAAAAGAAAAAAAAAAGGCGCACGUGUCCAAGUCGCAAUGGGAUGUAGUUGGAGGUGUUGGAUGUCCUGAUUCUCGGAAUCAGAAAAGUGGGUCAGCUGCCUCUUGUCCCUAGUUGUGUGUCAAUGCGUCUUUCUUAAGGGAUGUGUGUCUGAAAGGCGGUUUGGUUUAGUAUUUCUUUAUAAUAAAAAAUGUGAAAUAAAAUUAACAAUGAAAUGAAAAUCGCAUAAUUUCUCAAAAAAAGAAAAGAAAAUUGCAUAAAUACAUAUCUAGUCCAGAUUCAUCUAUAAAUCAAAGUAACUUAAAAAGCAUUAGUUUCAUGUUAACUUAGAGGUGGUUAGAGUAGAGUUUAAGUAUUAUAUUAAUAUAUUUUAUAUUUAUUUAAAGUUAAUUUGAAUAUGAGUUUAAAAUUUUAUUUAAAUUCGUUUAUUUUUGUAAAAGAAUUAAUUUAAACUCAUUUUAAGUUAUUUAAUAUUAUAUUUUUUAAAAAAUAAUUAUUUUAUUAGUAUUAAUAAUUUUAUUAGUUUUAUUUAUUGAAUUUUUUAUAUAAUUAUCUUAAUAUUAUUUUAAUAUUUACAUUAGAGUAGUAUUAUAUAUUUAAUAUUAUUUAUUUUUUAAUCUGUUAUAAAUUACAUAAUAUAUAUAAAGAUAACAUAAUAUAAAAUAUUAUAAACUUAAAAAUAUAUUAGGCCACGCUCAACCAUGAAUAUUUAAGUUCAAGCUCAAUUUAUAUUUUAAAUAGGCCUAUUUUUUUUAUUCAAUUCCAUUUUUUAAACCUAAUUUUUUUCUCAAAUAUUCUCAAAUUCUGAAUGAAUAACUCAAGUAAUGAACAAUUUUAUUUGAACCCCAGGUAGCAUUCAUCCUCGACGCUGUACUAUUUUCUUGUCUUGAUCAAGAAGACAAUGGGGUAUAUUCUAAUAUAUAAAUAUAAAUAUAUAUUUUAUUAGUGAUUGUGGGUGGAGGCAUUGUAGGAUAAUCACAUCAUUGACGAGAAGGAAAAAGAACAGCUUAAAAGCAAGUGGUGAAUGGGGUUAAUAUCACUUGACCAACUUUCUUUUUUGGAGUUUUGAUUCGAUCCAUGUUGGUUUUGAUAUGAAAUCUCCAUAGCUCUUUUAUUUGUAGGUAAAUUGCACUCAAAUUAUUAAACUAUUAAUAAAUUAAUAAAUUAGUCAUUCAAUUUUAAAAAAUUACAAAAUAAUUAUUAAAUUAUUCAAAAAAUUUUAAUUAAGUAAUUAGAUUUUUUUUUGAAAUAAGUUUCAGAUUGAGCUUUAUUUUAAAAUAAAUAAAUGUUACACAUAAUAUCCUAGAAAAAACAACCAAUGAGCCCAAUUAAAAAAAUUGAGCCCAGCAAAAGAAAACUAAAAGACAAGAAUUGAAAAACCAAAUCUCCUAAGAAAUGAAAAAGGAAACAAAAUCUGAUUGUAAUAAAUGUUUACUAUUCUACCUGCCCGAUCAGUCUUAAAAGACUACAAACGUCUUAUCUCUUCAAUUUUAUUUACUUUUCCAAGACGCUUGAGAUUACUCUAGGGCUGCUGAAAUAACUUUGAUGUCUGCCCUUCUCUAUACUCUCAUCCCUUCAUUUCUCGCUUUCUUCCUUCAAUCUGGUUCUUUUGCCCUCUCAGUUUCUGCUUGGAUUUCUGCCGCUUCAGGGACUCUGCCGAUCAGGUAGGCUCCUCUACUACUCUUCAGCGCUUCAUUUGCUAAUAUAUGCGCAAGGUUGUUUGCUAAUCUUGGGAUAUGCUCAAACCUACACUCCUUGAAUUUAAGCAGAAGUUGAUGAAUAUCAUGUAAAUACGCACUAAUCAAUGAUUUAUCGGGGCUUUUUGUUUUACAUUUUCUUAUUAUUGAUAAAGAAUCCCCUUCAAUAAUAGCUUUUUCCCACUGCAUGUUAACGCCGAUCUGGAGGGCUUUCCGACACGCUAUUGCUUCCGCCCCAAAGGCUGAGGGAACUCUUUGAUGAACCUCCGUACAUGAUAGAAGAACUGAACCCUCCUUAUCGCGGGCCACAACCCCAAUAGCCGCUUUACUUUGUCUACCGUCGUACGCUGCAUCGAAAUUGAUUUUGACUAUCUUGUCUACUGGCUUUGUCCAUAUUUUUACAGGUAUGGAAGAUUGCAACCUAUUUUUACCAACUGCAUCAAGAUCUGAAAUAUAGCUAUGAACAAAUCUCCCUACUUCUUUUCCAGAUUUACCAUCUUUUUUAUGCAAUCUAUUGUUCCUGUCUCCCCAGAUGGCCCAUACUGCAACACAAAAGAUUCGAUGCUGAGGAGUCGAGCUUUGUGAGAAAACCCAGGUUAGCCACUGUAGAAACCCCAUUUGAUUAUCUUGCAAAAACCUAUGAAAAGAUAACUCUCUCCAUACUGCUAUUGUAGAUGGACAUUCCCGGAAGAGAUGGUCCAUAGUUUCAGUUCCUGAACUACAGCGAGGACAUACUGACGUGUUCGUCAGUCUUCUAAGUAGCAUAUUAGCUCACGUAGCUAGAAAAUUCCAAGAUAUCUUCCAAACUGUAAUUUUAAUUUUUGAAGGAAGAUCAAGUAGCCAUAGUUUUCUGUAGAAGUCCUUGUAGUCAUUUUGUAAAGCAUAAGCUUCAGGGUUAUUUUCAAUGCUUUGUAAUAGUUUAUAGGCGCUCCGUGUUGUGAACUCACCCGUCGCUUCAACGCUCCAAACUUGGAAAUCUUCGUGCGGUGUUUCAGUUAGUGGGAUACUGAGGAUCUUCUCUGCUACAUCAUUCGGAAAGGUAUGCUCUACCAACUCUUGUUUCCAUGUUCUGCUACUUGAAUCAAUUAGCUCUGCAACUUUACUAUCAUUCAAAUUUAAACUUAAAACUGGUAAUCUAUCACGCGGUAAAACUGGAAUCCAAUAAUCACGACUGAUUGAAAUUUUUGUACCUCGCCCCACCUUCCAACAUAAGCCCUCUGCUAGGAUGCCCUUAACAGCCUAAAUACUUUUCCAUGUAUACGAUAUAUUAUUCCCCAACUGUGAGUUUAAAAAAUCAACACUUGGAAAAUAUUUCGCUUUUAAUACUUGCGCAACUAAAGAAUUUGGGUUGUUUAUAAUACGCCAUCCUUGCUUAGCUAAAAGUGAAACAUUAAAUUGAGCCAUAUUUCUAAAGCCCAAUCCACCCUCUUCUUUAGGACGACAUAAGUACUUCCACUGACACCAAUGAAUACCUCUCCUACCAUGCGUUUUUUGCCACCAAAAUUUAGCAAAAAUAUUUUCAAAUUCUCCACAAAGAGUCUUUGGUAAUAAGAAGCAUGACAUAGCGUACGUUGGAAUGGCCUGUAACACCGAUUUAAUAAAGACUUCUUUACCUCCUUGAGAUAACAUUCUAGUACUCCACCCAUCAAUCCUGGUAGCAAUCUUUUCUUUUAAAUGCUGAAAGGAUUCUUUCUUUCGUCGACCAACCAUGUUUGGAAGCCCUAGAUAUCGUUCUAAGUUUGUUGAGAUUCUAACCCCCAAUUUUGCCGAAACUUCAUUCAUUUUUUCUUCUGACGUAUUGGUGCUGAAAAAUAUGGUAGACUUGUUGAAAUUAACGCACUGUCCAGAACAUAUUUCAUAUUCCUUCAAAAUUUCCUUUAGUAUACUGGCACCCCUAUCAGAUGCUUCCCCAAACAACAUACAAUCAUCUGCAAAGAGUAGAUGUGAAAUUUCUGGUCCUCUUCUGCUUGCUUUUGCACCCUUUAUCAGUCUAUUUUCUGAAGCCAAUCUCAUUAAAGAUGAUAACCCCUCACUACAAAUCAGAAAAAGAAAGGGGCUCAGCGGAUCUCCUUGACGUAAGCCUCGAGACGGUGAAAAAACUCUUCCACUUCUACCAUUUAUAUUAACUGCAUAGGAUGUUGUGGAAACACAAGUCAUAAUCAGCUUAACCCACUCUGGUGUGAAGCCCAUUCGUAACAUCACUUCCUUUAAGAAUCCCCACUCAACCCUAUCAUAGGCUUUGCUCAUGUCAAGUUUAACUGCCAUGUAUCCUUUUUUUCCUGUGCGCUUUUGCCGAAAAGUAUGUAAGAUCUCAUAAGCUAGUAUCACAUUGUCUGUUAUUAGCCUUCCCGGGACGAACGCACUUUGAGCAGCAUCAAUGCAUCUUCCAAUAACUGCUUGUAGUCGAGUUGCAAUUGUUUUUGCCACCAUUUUGUGAUUACUGAACAUAAACUGAUAGGUCUGAAAUUAACUAUGCUAGUGGGAUUUGGAAUUUUUGGGAUCAGCACAAUGUCGGUGUGAUUUAAAUUACCAAAACUUGCACCGUUAUUUAAAAUUUCCAAGCAAAGAUUGGUUAUUUCCUUACCUACGAUAUGCCAGAAUUUCUGAAAGAAAAUGGCUGGAAAACCAUCAUAUCCUGGAGCUUUUGUUGGUCCCAUUUCCUUUAAUGCCGCAUACAAUUCUUCUGCUGUAAAGGUUAACAUUAGCUCUCUAUUGAUAUCAGAUGAAAUAUUUUCCUUUAUUCCCGAUAGGAGAUAUGAACUUUCCACCCUUCCUUUUGUCGUGAAAAGUUCCUGAAAAUAGGAUGUGGCCACAUCAUUAAUCUCACUCUCCUCAGUUGCUUCUCCGCCCACAGAUUUCUCCAAUUUGGAUAUUGAAUUUAUACGUCUUCUAGAAGUAGCAAACCUGUGAAAAAAACUGUAUUUUUAUCACCCACUUUCAGCCAAUUUGCCCUUGCUCUUUGUUCCUAAUAUAUUUCAUCCUUAUCAAUUUCCAUAUUUAAGUGGAUCUUAGUGUCUACAAUGUCUGCCGUUGUGUUGUCAUUCAUUUCUUUCCCCAUUAACACUUCCAGCUGCUUUGUUAACUUUUUCUUUAGCCCCUCCCGACCUUUCUUAAUCCUUCUCGCCCAAUCUAAUAAAUCUGCUUGCAACUUUCCAAGUUUCUCAGCUACUGGGCCUGUUCCUGACUCCCAAGAUUCUUUAAUUAUUUUUUCACAAGUAUCCUCCAUCAACCACCACGCUUCAAAUUUAAAUUUUGAAUUGCCAUUAUGAAUGCUUUCGCCAUCUGUGUUAAUUAGAAGUGGGCAGUGGUUUGACAUUGUGUGGGGUAGAUGGUUAACUCUACCUGCUGGGAAAAGGAGCCUCCAUUUAUCAUUUACCACCCCUUAUCAAGUCUUUCUCUAAUAUUUGUCUCUGGUAAAUUUCCCCUUUCCCAUGUAAACCAUACUCCCGAAAAACCCAAAUCUUCUAAAUGGCAAUUCUCUAAGACCUCUCGAAAUGCCUUCAUUCUGUUCUCUUCCCUUGGGGCACCCCCACAUUUCUCAAAAGAAUACAUGAUCUCAUUGAAGUCACCACUUACCUACCAUGGGUGGCUGUUAUCUUGCUCCAGAUUUAUCAGCAAAUCCCACGAAUCACUCUUAUUGUGGACAUAUGGAGAGCCAUAGAAACCUGUAAAUCUCCACUCUUUGUUACCCUGUUCCUCUUCAACCAAAACAUCAAUGUUAUUCCUAGAAAAACUUCGUAAACUUACUUUGGUGUCACCUUUCCAUGCUAAGCAUAAUCAUACUUUCGAACCUUGUGCUUCUAUAUCAAUACCAUUCAUAAAACCGCAUCUCUGUCUGAUUUUUUCUAUCCUCUGUCUAUCAACUUUGGUCUCCAUUAAGAAGAUCAUUUGGGGAUUGUGCUGCUUGAGGAAGUAAUGUAACCUUCUUCCAGCUCGUGGACUCCCCAAUCCACGAACAUUCCAGCUGAUGGUUUUCAUUGCGUCCGGUCGGUUUGCCUAUUAGCAGCCGCCGAUAUCAAUAAAUCUUGAACUUCAAUUUGCUCAUUAGUGUCUGUCACCAUUUCCACUGGGUCUUUGUAGUAGUCUGAAGUAUCCUGUUUCAACCUUUUAAUUCCAUCUCUGUCUCCUUUUCCUGUAUGAUCGCUGGUAAAAUCUGCAUCAAUGGGCUUCCUCUUCCUCGUAUUAUUUCCAACUUUUGUCGUUGUUGUGCCAUGUUGAAUGCUUAUCCAUUUUGUAUGUUUCUCUUGAUUUGGAUUUUGGCUCUUCUCUCUAUUACAAUUACUCACUUUCUCAGCUUCCUCUUGUCUCCAAAUACCUGCAUAUUCUUUUAGCAUCUUCCUCCUUUCCUUUAAAUUCACCUUCUCAGCUUCCUCUACCUCCAAAAUACCUUCCUGUUCUUCUGGCAUCACCUCCCCUUCUUUUAAUUUCAAAUUCUCCUGCGGGCCCCCUCUUCAUUGCUUCAUUUCUCAGCACAUUUAAUACUAUUGGGUGAAAUUCUCUCUUCUCCGAUAUAAGAACUCUGAACCCCCGUCUGUUUCUUUAAACUAUUAAAUUUCACACUUUCUUUUCCAAUUAAUCUUGAUUCUGCUUUUAAAGCCACAGAAUAAGGAGGAUUUUCACUGAUUUUCUACCAUCUCAAAAAUUAUUAGAAAUAAGUUUUGUCCCACCAAUCUGAUUUCAAACUUUUUUCUUGUCUUCCAUAAACUUUUCAUAUGAGCCCUAAAACUAUCUGGGUUAUAUAAUUUCCCCGUCCAAACCGUACAAAUCAAUGUAGGUUUGGAACUUGGUACCACCAACGAUCCUUUGACUGAUAGUUGAACUAAUUCUUCAGCAAAAAAGACCGAUCUCAUCCCCUUCCUCUCUAUCGUCGCCACCGCUUGCUUCCAUCCCCAGCCACAGUAGUUACUGCUAUCUCUAGGGUUUCUCAACCAAGCACUCUUGGGAGCAGAGAGUUAAAAAAAUUAAAUUGAAAAUAAAAUUUUUUAAAAAAUAGUAAUUAGAUUUAUUAAAAUAAUUGUUGUAUGGCCUUUUUUUUUGUCUAUAUUGCUUGCACUAAUUGAAAGAUUUCCUUCUCCUUCUCUUCCACAAUGCAAUUUUUUUAUGAAACAUAUUUGAAUGUCAUGAAUCUGCAAACCAAAAUUCAUUCUUCGAUCUUCAACACAGACAAUCAGAUUAACUUGAAUCUAUUAAUGUAUGUUCUUCUACUUAUUAAUGGGUACCGAUCCACUAUGCCGAUCGUCGAAUCAUUACUUGAAACUUAAAUGAAAACUUUCGAAUAGGUCAAUGAUCAUAUUAUAAAUUUUUAAAAUUACUAAUAAUUUAUUUUCCUUUUAUUUUAUAUUAUUUAUCCAUAUCUCAAAAAAUAGAUCAAAAGUGACUAUAAAGUAACUUGACGAGCUUUUCUAUUUUAACACACGAAAUGCAUGAUGUGUGAUGCUAUUAGUGCCCUUUUAAUGCAAUAAAAAAGUACAUAACGAAAUUGGGUGUUUCUAUAAGUGAUUAUGGAGAUGGAAGCCAUGAUGUCAUUUAGAGUUCAAUAAUAUCUUUAUCUAAUUUGAUGCUUAUUGGCUAGCAAAAAAGUAUCUAUCAUUUUUAUCAUGCGCACACUAUAUAUGAUUUUUUUUAAAUUUUCCAAAUUGUAGGUCCAUUUAGCAUCGUAUUCCUUCACAUUGAUUCGUGCAUUAAAUUGAAUUCCGUCGUGUAUGAAUUCACCAAAAUAUUACCUAAUUAAUUUUCUCAUGUAAUCGUAUGCAAUGAAGUCAGUGAUGAUCAAUGGCUUGAUUUGCUUUGUAAAAGCCAGAAACCCUUAUUUCAAUUAAAUAUUUAAUUACGAUAGAGAAAAAAUAAAUUAAAAUACAUAUAUUGUGUAUUUGUCAAUUAUAUAUGUAAAAUUUUAAAUUAAUUUAAUAUUUUUAUUAUUUUGUAUUAAUAUAUAUAACAUGAAAUAUUAGGGUUGAAUUAUGGGAAGAAUAGUUUUAUACUGACGUGAGUAAGUCGUAUAAAUUAUUCAUUACCAAAGCCCAGUUGCUGAAGACAAAGACAUGAAUUAGGGUAAAUAUUAGAUUGUAGCUAAGACUACUAAAAUAAUGUUAUGCAAGUUGAUUAAGUGGAUAAGAACGGAUCGACAUGGCAGAAAUGCCAAAGUUGUUUGUGAUGCAACCCCUCAUCAUCUUUAACCCUGGCUAGGGUUGAUAUGGAACACAACCUUAUAGAAAUGGAACCCGGCCCUUUUGGAAUUGUAUAUGAUUUUCAGGAACACUGAACAGUCCUUUGUUCUUCAUUAUUUGGAUUUUCAAGGCUUUCUAGCUUUUGUGUUGGCACUUUAGGGUUUCUGGAAUUAUCUAAUCAAUUACCCGAACCUGCAAGAGAUUAGCUACUGUUAUUAUAAUACUAUCAUGAUAUUAAAUUAUAGUCCUGUUUUUAAUUAAAGGUACAAAUACCAACAAAAAUCAUCAUAAAAAGGUUAUUAAUUAAAAAUAUUGUAUAUGGUUAACAACUUCUUUGUUAUACUGAUUGAAUCUUAGUUUGAUUGAUAUUAAUAUUAUUAUCGAUGUAAGGAGAAGUGAAUUCGAGUAUGCUGAAAUAAUAAAAAGGACAAAUAUAAUAAAAAUUUAUAAUAAAAUUAAUAUUGAAAUACUUCUUCAUUAUGGUUAAGUAAGAAAUUUAUGGGUGUUAUAAAUUAUAAUAUAGUAUGAUGUUUUCAUGAUGUUAAUAUUAAUUUUUGAUGUUAAACACCUUGAUUUAGGUGAGCCAACUUGUUUUUUUUUUUUUUUUUGAGUGUGAAAUUUGGGUGCAUGUCCAUUUCAAACCCUGAUUAUUUUAUGAUGAUAAAAUUGGUUUCUAAAUAAAGCCUGUCGUUGAAUGUGUGGCUAGGAUUGGAAAUCAAUUUCUUCUUUAUUUUAAUUAAUACAAUUUAUUUCACUUUUACAUCAUUUCAUAAGGGUACAAAAGGGUGUAAUUCAUUGCUAUAUUUAUUGAAAUUAGAUUAAUUUGGUUGAUAAUUGCGAAUCAAUUAGUAUAUUUGUUUAAAGUAAUUGGGAGAAUUGAUUGAUUUAUAAAUUGAUAUGAAUCAGUUGAAAUAAGAUAAAUUUGAUUAAACCAUUGGUUGAAUUAUUAAUAUAUAUUUUUAAAAUUUUCAUGAAUUUUAAAUAAUAUAUUUAAUUGAAAUCUGAUAUCAAUUGGAUCGAAAAUCGAUAAUCUAAUAGAUUUGACUAUCAAUCUAGUUUCAAAAACCAUGACCACCGUAUCUAACACGGUAAAAGUACCAUUAGGUUAUUUUAUUAGGAGUUGGAUUACAUUUUACUUCCUCUACUCAAAAAAUAGGCAAAUUAGUCCCUAUAAUUUAGAUCAAAGAGCAAAUUAGUCCUUAUGUUAAAAAAUUUAUCCAUUUCUACAGUUAAAAAUUGGUCCUUGUACAUUAGCAUGAGGUAUACAUGGUGGUUGUUUGAUUAUUCUAUGAUCUAUACUAGUUUUAAUAGUACAAAUGGACGAAAUGUUUUAUAGAAAUGACUAAUUUGCUCUUUGAUCUAACAUAUGGGGACUAAUUUACCCAAAUUUUAAGUAGAUGGGGUAAAAUGCAAUCAAACUCCUAAUACAAAGAACUCCACAGUACUUUUACCCAACUGUUUUUUUUUUCUUUUUACAAUUUGCACCGAUAUAAGAUUCUAAGUUUUAACAGUAGAGAUUGGGCUUUGAGAUUUAUUUAGAUGAAAAUUGUAAACAAAAAUGGGUUAGUCUAGUUUUAGAGAUUUGGGCCUAGUGCUGUUACAUUGAGUUUAUGAUGAAACAAGGAAGCCCAAAUCUCCAUUGGCUCCUCCGAAUCUUAUCCACAGUCCACAUCAAUUGUAUGUGGAGAUAUUUUCCACCAUAAACGAAGCCUCAAAUCUUUGCUUUCGCUGUGAACCAGAGCUCAAAAAACAAUGGCCACUGUUGAAGCAAUAGCAGCACUCUCCUUUUCAUGUUACCCUUCUUCUUCUUCCUCUAAAUUCCUCUUACAUGCCAAACCCAGUAGACUCUCUUCCCUAACUUCCCACAUUCCCAAGUCUACUCCUUUACUUUCCCACAAUAUCUCCAUCUCGCCAUUAAUCAGCACCCAAAAGAAAUUGAGUUUUCAACUCUGCUCUACACUGCAAGAGGUGAGCUUAGAAGCUGAAACAGAUAAAACCCAGAAGUCAAAUGUGAAAAGGAAGCUUUUUGUGUUGAAUUUGCCUUGGUCUUAUACGGUUGCUGAUAUCAAAGACCUCUUUGGCCAAUGUGGGACUGUUAAAGAUGUUGAGGUUAUAUGCCCUUCUCUAUAAAGCUAAAGUUUCCUCCUUUUGCCAAAGCAGACUAAAAUUAUUUACAUUAUGGGUUUUUUUUUUUUUGGUUUGUUAUGUGGAUUCCAUUUUAGAUCAUAAAGCAAAAAGAUGGGAGAAGUAGGAACUUCGCAUUUGUGACAAUGGCUUCUGGUGAAGAAGCUCAGGCUGCUAUCGAUAAACUCGAUUCUCAUGUAAGUUUCUCUUUUUCUUCAUUUUAAAUUUAUUUACUCUUUUGCUUGGUCUGCUUGAAUAAAGGGUAUUUUGUUUCCUAUCUUUUUUUUGCACAUUUGAUUGUUAGAUUGGACUAAAUGAUUGUCAUUUUCAAUGAUAUUCAAUUAUGUCCUGUGAAUUAGCUAGCCUCUGUCGUUCUUUUAAUUGAGAGAGUUACAUUUGAACUCAGUUUGAGCCUGUGUCAUUGGAUUGUUCAUUGUUGGUUUGAAAUGUUUGAGGGGUUAUCACUUACCCUCCUUGUAUAUGAGCUCAUGAUGGAGCUGAAAUUGAUAUAUCAAAAAGGAAGAACACAUUAUUUAAUCAUCUCAUUAUGCAUAUUUUAAGCAAUGAUUCAUGGUGCAGGAAGUGUCGGGGAGAAUUAUUAGGGUAGAGUUUUCAAGGAGACUGAAUAAACCUUCGCCGCCUUCUUCGGAGCCAAUGGUUCCUUCCCGUGAGACACGCCCUAAGCUUUAUGUCUCUAACCUUGCUUGGAAAGCUAGGUCUACUCACCUCAGAGAAUUUUUCUCUGCCUUUAAUCCGGUUUCAGUUAGGGUUGUUUUUUCUAACCCGUCGGGACAGUCUGCUGGGUAUGGCUUUGUUUCCUUUGCCACAAUGGAGGAAGCUGAAGCUGCUGUUUCUACUCUAGAUGGGAAGGUAAUCAAAUUUAAUUUAUACACACACGUAUAUAUAUAUAUUUGCACUAUGUUUUUCUGCUUGUGUUUGGAAAGCACUAUCAUAAAGCCCAUAAUGCAUGGCUAAUAUGAUGAUUACCAGGCUAAAUAAACUGGUUUUAAGGCUUAUGAUGGUGAUUUGUGUAGAACCCUUUUGUAUGAUGAAAUUGCCUUGGACAUAAGUUUGAUGUUCCCUUCACUCAAUUGUCUCCUUUUUACGAUUCUUGCUCCAUUUUUUGUAACUUCGUCAUCAGCUUGACUGUAAUCAUUGUUAAAACGAAACGGUUUGAAUGAACUCGUUCUUCUUUUUUUAUUUUCAGGAAUUGAUGGACCGACCAAUACGUUUAAAAUUCAGUGAAAGGAAAGAUGAUGAAUCUGGAGGUGAAAAGAAAGAGGCUAAGGAUGAGCCUGAUGAUCAAAAUGAAGAGGCUUAGAUCAUCAUUGAGUUCACUUGGACCUCAUCUUUCCAUCAUUCUGAGAUUAGUGUACAAAAAUGAGACUUUAAGCUAGAAAGUUUUGUCACAUGCUUAUACAGGUGGUCUUUAAAUGUUUACAUUUUCUUUUUGUUUUGUGUCUUGAUAAAUUUUCGUGUAACUUAUUAUCUAUAUUACAUGCAUUCAAUUCAUUUGGAUGGGAAUUAUGUUAUAUCUGUGGUGAUUAUUAAAAGGAUUAAUGUAAACUUUUGGUUCUGAACUUGGUAGUUAUGUCUAUUUUGGUAUUUGAACUUGGCAAUCAAGUCUAUUUUGGUCUCUAAACUUGGAAAAAUAUAAAACUUUGAUGAUAUGAUCACAUCACUGAUAGAAUCUAAAUUCAGAUAUCAAAAUGAACUUAGUUGUCAUGUUCGAGUAUCGAAGUGGAUAAAAAAAGUACUAAAAUCAAACCUAGUUACCUUGCUGAGGAGCCAAAAGUUAUAGGCUUAAUGUUCAGUUUGACAAUUUAUAUCUACAGAUAUAAAUUUUGAGGCUUUCAAGUAUCAAAAUGGAUCUAAUUAAUAAAAUUAAGUAAAAAAUUUCUCAUAUAUUCGUAAUCUACAUUUACUUAAAAUUCAAAUAAUAUAACUGGGUGGAAUGUGCCAAUGCUUAAAACAUAAUAUAAAAAAGAUAUCUAUAUUAUUAUUGGGUAAUUAUUACCUUGUUAUUAGUUAGCAUUAUUCUUGUUAUGAUCACAUGUUUACCAGAAUCGAUUAAACAUAUCAUGAUCUCAGUCUCAUACUUUAUCUAAAUGGGUCUUUGGAAUGUGCAAAAAAAGAUCACUAAAGUUAAUAGGUCACUAAGGGGUUUAGACUAUUGGACUGAUUCUGGGGAGAGAGAUAGAGAGCACUGAAAAAAAAAGUAGAAAUGAAAAGAAGAGAAAAGGCAACACAACUAUGCUGUUUGGUUAGAGAGAAAGAGGGUUUCUUGGUCAUAGCACUUGACAAAAUAAAGCUUCUUCAUUUGACUAAAAACUGCCCAAUCCAUUGAUCCACUGCAUAUAUUUUAAAGUUUUGACAACAACUUUGCCCUGCAAUAAAGUAAGUCAUUUCAUUAUCCUAGAAAAUAAUUGUCACUUGAUUAAACAUUCUAUAGGUGCUUGGCUUGUGUUUAAGCCUUUCUUUUAUUUGUUCUUAGUAGGGAAAAUCUCUAAAGUCCUUUGCUUCAAUCGUAAGGAUAAUAAAUUUAUCUUAAAUUCUGUUAUUAAUAUACUAUUGAUUAAGGUAUUUUCUUUUAUAAUUGAUGAAAUUUAAUAUUUUUGAGGUUCAUAAAUAUACUUUCGAAUAAGGUUAUCUCUAGUGUUUGAAUUCAAUAAAAGUAUCAUGGAAGUCUGUGUACUAGUAGUCAGUUUGUAUUUUGUCAUUUUUAUUAAAAAAAUGAAUAAAUUAGUCUUUAUAUAUUAAAUCAAAGAGUAAAUUGGUCAUUUUAAUUAAAAUUUUCAUUCAUUUCUGUUAUUAAAAACUGGUGUGGUUGACAGAAUAGCCAAACAAUUACACAUAGCAUACCACAUGUACUUCAUCUCGACAUGUAGGGACCAGUUUUUAAUAAUAGAAAUGAAUAAUUAUUUUAACAAAACAAUAUGUUUACUAUUUAAUUUAACAUAUAAAAACUAAUUUAUUAUUUUUUUAGUAGAGGGACAAAAUAUAAUUCGACUCUUAAUAUAAUAACUUACACUACACCCAACACUACACUUGUUAGUAUUGUUAUUGCAAUACAAGGAAUGAAAAGUCACACACAAGAUAGCUAAAGAAAAAAGAAAAAAGAAAAAGGAGGAUAAAAAAUAACGAAGCAAAAGAGAACACUCUUAGUAUUCCUCUCUUGAUGUUUUUCUUUCUUGUCCUUAUGUUGCUUUCCAUGUCAGCCCCUUUGGCCUUUGGCUGCUUUUAGCACUCUUUUUUAUGUCUUGAAGAAAUGCAUUUGAGGAGGAGACUUUCAUUGCCAUGCACUCUGUUCUGUGUUAGCACUCUUUUGCACAUGUAGUGUCCAAUUGGAAAAGCAUUAGUUUCAUCCUUAUUAGACCAUCCUAUUUUCCUGUGGUUUCUCUAAUCGAUCUAAAGGGCUAUCUUCCAGCUUUUGUCUUUGUUGUUAAGGGGUCUGUUUGUUUCCCUAGAAAAAAAACCUGGGUGCCAUACAUGAACACCAAAGACUGUUCUCAAGGUUUUUGUAGCUUGUAUUGUCCACAAUGGUGUUAGAUCGUCUUCUCUCCUCCACCUCCUAUGGGAUUCCCUCAUGAUGAUUCAGCCUCUAAUUUCUCCCCUCUUAUGAUUACAAUCAUUGGCAUUUUAGCCUGUGCUUUUAUUCUACUAAGUUACUAUACCAUAAUAUAUAAAUAUUGUGGGAAAAAUGUGAGGAGGAGAGAGGUUCAUGGCAGUGGUGGUGAAAUGUUGGACGACAAUCACAACCCAUCUACUCAUGAGCCAUGGCAGGCUUCAUCUACCGGUUUGGAUGAGGCUCUCAUCAACUGCAUUACGGUUUGCAAAUACAGAAAGGGCGAUAACUCGGUUGAAGGAACGGAUUGCUCCGUUUGCCUCAACGAGUUCCAACAAGACGAAAGUUUAAGGCUCUUGCCUAAAUGCAGCCAUGCUUUCCAUGUCCAUUGCAUUGAUGCAUGGCUUAGUUCUCAUUCGAAUUGCCCUCUGUGCCGUGCUAGUAUAACCUUUGUUAGCGCUUCACCGGUGACAGAACCCCCUUCCAGCAACGAACUUUUGCAGAACGAAAACGUAGAAGCCGCCGCAAAUGAUGUAGGCAACGCUCAAGGAAGGAACGCCGUGAUCGAGAUUCGAGACGAAGGUCAUCAGCAUAUGAGAAGAUCAGUUUCCAUGGAUCAUUUACAUCAAACCCAACUUUCAGUUGCUGAUAUUUUGCUUAUGAAUCAAGACGAAGCGUGCCAGUUUGCACCGGUUAUCGCUGGAUCAUCGAAACAAUCCACAGAAGCCAGUAAGAAUAGCAAUAAAAUGAGGGUCUUGCACUGUCGAACCCUGUUGCAAUGAAGCGAUCCUUUUCGAGUGGUAGAUUCUUUCUUGCUAACCAAGGAAGAUCAAGAGAUCCUUCUAUUCCCUUAUAAAUCUAAAGCAAACCCUUUUUAAAUAAUCCAAUCAUAUUCAUAGCAGUAUAAUCAUCUACAGAUAAAGAGAGAUUUUGUNNNNN
rnacentral:lncRNA from 1 species